AUUUUUUUUAUUAUUUAAUGCACUGUUCUUGCAACUUAUUUUUCUGGUUAAUAUACUGUGAUUUGUGAAUGGCAGUUCAUUUCAAGCUUCUAAAUGUGUUUUUGAUCUCUAAAUAAGACUGCAUUUUAAUAUUGAUUACAGGCUUUUUAUUCCAGAGUAGUAGUAGCUCCAACACCAGCCCCUGCACCACCAGUGGUCAAGCCACCCAUCACUAAUCCACCAGUAGUGAACCCUAGUCCGCCGGUAGUCAAGCCACCAGUUUAUUCUCCACCAGUGGUCAAGCCACCCAUCACUAAUCCACCAGUAGUGAAACCUAGUCCGCCGGUAGUCAAGCCACCAGUUUAUUCUCCACCAGUGGUCAAGCCACCCAUCACUAAUCCACCAGUGGUGAAACCUAGUCCCCCGGUAGUCAAGCCACCAGUUUCUUCUCCACCAGUGGUCAAGCCACCAACUCCUACCACACCGGUCGUCAAGCCACCAGUUUCUUCUCCACCAGUGGUCAAGCCACCAACUCCUACCCCACCAGUCGUCAAGCCACCAGUUGCUACCCCGCCAGUGACCAAACCCCCCACUCCUUCACCACCACUAACCAAGCCACCAAGUAGUCCUGCACCAGUAACCAAACCACCCACCACUCCAACACCACCAGCAUAUAAGCCACCAGUGACGCCACCAUCUGGUUCACCAAUGCCCCCUCCGGUUAGAACAAGAGCAGGUAACGCAUAGAAAUUGAAGCUUAAAUGUUAUAUUUGGUACACAUCAUGAAAAAGUUUGAAUUUUUCUUAUUUUAUACAUUGCGAGUGAAAAUGGGUGUUGAAGAUUAAUUCUGUUGGUUGCAGAUUGCCUCCCACUAUGUGCAGAAAGAUGCAAAUUACAUUCAAGAAAAAACAUCUGUGAAAGAGCUUGCAUGACAUGCUGUGACAGGUGCAAAUGUGUGCCCCCAGGAACUUACGGUAACAGAGAAAAAUGUGGCAAGUGCUACACUAACAUGACUACUCGUGGCAACAAACCCAAGUGCCCUUGAAAUUUCAAGAAACUAAAACUACUUCUCUCUUCAUAUAUAUUAUAGUUAUAGAUAAAUGAAAUAUAUCUUUCUAAUUGUUAUUUAAGUUUCAAGUCUCUAAUGGAGAAAAAGAAAUAAAUGUUCUUGUUUCUGUUUCUGGCGUUAGAUGCAGGUAGUAUAUAUUAAUUGAGCAAUCAGUGUUAUAAAUAUUGUACUGAGGCAAGUCUGUGCUUAGGUAGCUGUUUCCUUGAGUUUUAAAUGCUGAUUGCAGAUAUUAAUAUAUGUUGUUGUUUCAGUAAUAUAUAAACGGUCAGGUUUAAAAUUGCAUAUAAAGUAUUAUAAGAUUUCGAGUUUAAACCAUUUCCACUGUAACUAAACUACCAGAAGAAAACAAGAAAAGAAAUCAUAGAUCAAAAUAAUAUAGAUCGAGCUGCAAGUGAAGCAUAGAUCAAUGAUUUUUCAAAUAUGUUAAAGUUUUAAACUCUUCAAAUCUUUUCAUUAUUGAUAUGAAAUUAACUUUGAUAUUCUAUUAGUAUAAAUUGAUGCUCAAAGAUUAGCAAUAAUAACUAUGCUUCUAUUAUAUCUUCCACUAGCCAAAAUGCUUGGUUAAAAACCACUUUGUCAUCUGCGUAUUUAUUUCCUCUGCAAUUACCACCAGCAAGACACUGCUAGCCCAGCAAUUAAUUAUUUUUUCAUUUCGCCAUAGGGCUUAGCACAGUUAAGCUUUUGGAGAAACCUGGUGUGGUUAGGGGCUCUGUAUGAGUUGAAUUGUUUAAUAAAUAAAAUUAAAUCCAAAACUAAAGAUUCAUUUUACUUCUACUCGACUUAUAUAUUCAAUCGGAAAUCAAUAUGAAAUGGAAAUGGAUAACCAAUCAAAUAAAAUAAGGAUAAUAUUGAAAAAAUAUUAUUUAUUAUUUUUUAGAAUAUUCAAAACGAUUUAUACGUUGGAAUAAAAUAAACACUUUAAAAAGGAAAUAUAUGAAUGCAUCUUUUAUGAAAUUUCUUUUGUUUUUUCCUUAGGCUCGUAUUAUAUCAUAAACCACUAUCCAAAAGGUCGAAAGCAUAUUGAUAGGUUUCAUCAUCCAAGAAAGUUAUGUGCUUAUACACGUUCCACCUCUUAAAUUCCUAUAUAAAGAGGAAAUUAGAAACACAAAGUGGGAACUCCUGGCUUAGCUCCAGCACCUGCUACUAAUGCAAGCUCCCUUGCUUUUUUGCCAUUUAUGGUGAUUGGAUUUGUGGGUUUUGCUGUUUUAUUUUUGGUGCUUAAAUUGGUGAACUAAUUUCUGCGUUGUUUUUUUUGAUAAUUAAUGAGUUCAUGUGUUUGUUAGAUUGUUUAAUUAUGUUAUAUUAAUAAAAUUGUUCUGCCAGUUUGUGAUUGUUUAAUUAUAUUGAGGAAGAAAUUUUAUGUUGUACACUUCUAAAUAGUCUCACUUUAAUUUUAUUAAAAAUUAUUAUUAUUAUUAUUAAAGGUCCUCAAGAAUAUACCAUUAAGAGAUAUCUGAUUCAAAUUUCACGGCGGUUGGAGAAGGUUUAUAAGGUAAAUUGGAGAAAGUUUAUAAGGUAAAUGAGCGAUCUUUCGUUAUAAUGUUUUCUGUUGUGUAGCUCAUUUAAAUUUCGAUAAAAAAAUAUUUCUUAAACUUGAAAAAUGGCCUGUUUAAAACUAAAUGAUAUAAUAAUAGAAAGCAAUGUCAGACUACCAAAGUGAUAAACAUAAAAAUGCUGGGCUAAUGGGCUUGAUGUGGAUUUAUUCAUUUUUUUAUUUACCAAACGUUUGAUUUUUGCAGUUAGACCAUAGAAAUGAUAUUUUCAUCAUUUACAAAAAAAAUAGGAAGAAUAUAUUUUUGUUAUAGAAUAAAAAAUACAAUAUAUAAAAGUUAACAUAGAAGCUUGUUUUUUACUCGACAGAUAAAUAUUUUUUUUCCAAAAUCAUUUCUAAAUAUAAGAUUUUAAUUUCUUAUAUUUAUAUUUCUUAGUGCUAUGAAAAUAUUAUGAUAUACUCAUAUUACAUUUUUUAUUAAUGAAUUAUCAAUUUUCUUUAAAGAAAAGGUUAGCUUAUGAGUUGUUCUGAAUAAAUCAUAGUCAUAUUAUAUUUUUCAUUAUUGAAUUAUCAAUUUUUUCUAAAGAAAGGUUAGCUUAUGAGUUUUUAGUAGAUGUAUUUGAUUAUUCAAAUCAUUGUUUGGAAUAUUUAACGAAGCAAAUUUUCAAAUUUGUCAUUGAUGUUAUAUUCACAAUACUGAAAUGUGUGGUUUCAAACUUGUUAACUUAAACAUUACAUUUAACUUCAAUUAGCUAAAUUAGAAUCUAACCCUACAUUACGAGGAAAAGGGGCCAAAAGAAAGCGAAAUGGAUUGCAUCUUCACAUGAAUUUGUUGUAUAAAAAUUAAGGAUUUAAAAUUUGAAAUUUAAAAUCGUCGCUGUCGAAAGUGUUUUAUUUGUCAUCUCUGAUGUGAGUGCAAAAACACAUAAAUAAAUAGGGUUUUGCUAAAUGACACAAGUUAUGUGUAAUAUAAUCAUUCAUAUUUACAAUUACACGUGUGGCAUCAACAAUAUAUCUAAAAUGUUAAAAUUUUUUUUUUAAGGAUAUUACAAUCUUUCGAACCAAAUAUUAGAAAUUGAAAUAAUUUAAUACCUUUGUUUGCUCAUAAUAAAAAAUAAAAAAGAAAAAAGAAAAUAGGAGUUAAGCGACUUUGAGAUCUAUGAUGCCGAGAUAUGCAAAAGCCAAGGCCCAUAAAAUAAGAUCCAUCUUCGGUAUAUCAAGCCCAAUGCUCUACCAGAGUCCCGAGAUCUAGUUUUGAUUUUUCAAGAUCCAAGUUCAGUUUUGAUCUUUCUCGCAUUCAACCAACUACUACUUUGCUGCAAGAAAAUUAAGAACAGAAAACAUAAAACAGAAGCAAGCAUAAGCUAAGGAAAAGCGAAAUGGUUAGUAGUGAUGGGAUCUUGGGGAUCAAAGAAGGAGAAAGAAUAAAAGCAGAAACUCUUAAAAGAAAGAAACGGCUAAAGAGACGAGAGAGAUGGUUGGUAAUACUUGGCGUGAUCCUUCACGCAAUUUAUAUGCUAAGCAUUUUCGAUAUCUACUUCAAAACCCCAAUUGUCCAUGGCAUGGAUCCUGUCGAACCUCGCUUCAAGGCUCCAGCGAAACGUCUCGUGCUUCUAGUAGGUAGGAUCUGCUAUUAAGUACUAUCUGUUUGAUUAUAUGUUUAAAUGAAUGAAGAUGUGAGUUUAUUUUUCAUGUUUUUUCCAUCAAUUUCAGUUCUUAAGAAAAUUUGGGUUUGAAAUUUGCUAAUUGUGCGAAAUGGGGUUUGCCCAUUUGAUAUCCACUUUAAUUAUUUACUAUAAAACAUAAAUAUAAGGAGGAGAACAUAAUAUUGGCGAGAUGGGAUUGUUUAAUUAAGUUAUACCUUUAGUUAACUUGAUCUUAAAUGUGAGUAACUGAGAAAAGCGCAUGAUCUUCUUGAACUUUAGUUCAUAGUUUGGCAUGUUAGAUUGCUUAUUGCUUAUUGAAGCAUAAUUUAUUUAUUACGAAGAACAGGGAAUGCUAAUAAAAUAAAAACGGUUGCUGGCCCUACUGGUUGUAAUUUUUAUUUUUUAAGUAUUUAAUUUUCAAAAUUUACUCAGAAACUUCAGUUCUUAGACUGCUACAACUUUUUUUUUCUCUCUCUUUUUUUUUUUUUUUUUUUUUUUUGGUUUGGUGGGGGUUGGGGGGAGGAGGAUAUUAGGGGUGUCAAAAUGGGUCUGACACACGAACACGAUUACCCUAACAUGCGAAAUAAACAGGUUAGGGUAGAAGUUAAACGGGUUACCCAUUUUUGACACAAAUAUAAACGUGUUGUGUUGCAGGUUGCCACGCGGGUUAAGCAAGUGACCCGUUUAUUUAAGAGGAAAGAGAUAAUUUUGGUGUCAAUACAAAUACUCCAAUUAAAAUCUAUUUAAACUUUAUUGUUGUAGUAAUAUUUUUUUUAUUUCAGUCAUGAAUAUUGAAAAAUCUAUGCAUUUUAUGUAUGAAAAAUUAUUUUUAAAUAUGAUUUGAAUUAAAUAGGUUAAAAUUUAAAAAUAAUAUAAGUAGGUUACAUGGGUCAUAUACAUGUCAACAUGACUCACUUAACCUGUUUAUGAUAUUAGACGGGUUACACGGGUUGUAUAUGGGUCAACGACCCACUUAACCUGUUUAUAAUAUUAGUAGACAGGUUACACGUGUCAUGUUCGUAUCACCUACCUAAUUUUCGUGUCGUGUUCAUGUCGACAAAUUUGAAACGAUUAUUAAAUGGUUCGUGUUCGUGUUGACCCUAAUUGUGUCACUCGCUAGGCGAAUCCGUGUCGAACCCGACACGCGAACCCGUUUUAACACCCCUAGAGGAUAUUGUACAGGAAAUUGUAGGUCCUUGACCUAGAGAAGUUCUCGAUUUUCCUGUGCAUAAAAUGGCUACAUUUGACCUAGGUUCUGGAAUUGAACAGCUCUAAGCUGUUUUAUAGUCGUCAGUUGUGUGUCAAGCUAUACUAAUAAUUGGGUCUCUUAUCAUAUUUCUUCUCAAUUUUUUGUCCGCAAGGUCUUUUAAUUACUUAGAAUUAUUCUUAUAUUUCUGUUAAAAUCUUUGGUUGAAAUGGCUGCAGCGGAUGGUUUACGCACUGAUAAGUUUUUUGAGCCGGAUUCGGAGGGAAAUUAUAGAGCUCCAUUUUUGAGAAGUAUAAUUAAAAGCCAUGGUAGAUGGGGAGUUUCACAUGCUCGGCCCCCUACAGAAUCAAGGCCUGGGCAUGUUGCUAUAAUUGCUGGUUUCUAUGAGGAUCCUAGUGCUGUCACAAAAGGUGGUAACUUUAUCAUCCUGUACCAUGUUAAUGAAUGAGUCAUUAUAAAUCUUCAAAUUCUUGUUCCUUUUUCAUCAACUAUAUUGCUUUAUACUGCAUGAUUGCUGAUGUUGCACCCAUCUGCUAAAGAGGUAUUUUUGCAUUUACAGGAUGGAAAGCUAAUCCAGUUGAAUUUGAUUCCGUUUUUAACCGAAGUAGGCACACAUUUUCUUAUGGAAGCCCAGAUAUUGUCCCAAUAUUCUGUGGUGCCUUGCCACACAGCACAUGGAAGAGCUACCCUCAUGAGUUUGAAGACUUUGCAACUGGUUUGUCAUAACCUGUAAUCACAAAUUCUUUUCCGUAGAAAUUUUAUUUCAUUUUUAUUUAUUCAAACAUUAAUAAACUGAUGUAACUGAAAUAAAGAAGAAUUUUAGAAGGACUACUAUAACCUAUCUCAAGUCAUAUGAUAAUAUCAAAGGAACCAAAAAUUUUUAUGUCCUAGUGCCCAGAUUCUAUAUUUCUUACUUUUGUUCAAUGCUUUAUCAGUUGAAUAGUGUUAAUGCAGAUGCUUCCUUUUUGGAUGAGUGGUCUUUUGAUCAAUUUCAGAGCCUUCUGAAUAGGUCCAAUGAAGAUCCAAAAUUGAAGGAGUUACUUCUACAAGAUAAGCUUGUUGUCUUUUUGCAUCUACUUGGCUGUGAUUCAAAUGGUCAUGCUCAUCGGCCCUAUUCAUCUAUCUAUCUCAACAAUGUCAAGGUUGUAGACCACGUAGCAGAACGCGUUUAUGCUCUUCUUGAAGAUUAUUAUAAGGACAAUAGUACAGCAUAUAUAUUUACAGCUGAUCAUGGAAUGAGUGAUAAAGGUUUGUUUCAGAAAAAAUGUGUAUUUCUACCUGAGAAUUCCAUGUGUAUCAUCAUCCAUCAAAUUUUUUUUUUUUGGGUAAUGAGGACAGUAUUCGGGAAAUGAGAAUGAUAAUUAAAUCUAAUUUGAGAAUCAAUAUGACUGGUUGGCCUAAUCUGAAAUUCACCCAAUUGACAACUUAACCACAAAGUAUUUGUUCUACAGGCUUGAAUAUUGAGCAUGAUAAGAAUGCAUCUGUUUUCAAUUCCUUAAAGUAGACUAGUUUACAUGCUUUGCUUAAAUCCAUGUAUGACCUUUGAUAAUGCUGUUCUCUAAGUUCCUCUGAUUUAUAGAGCCUGACAUAUGUUUCUACUCUUAGGUAGUCAUGGAGACGGGCAUCCUUCAAAUACUGAUACUCCUCUUGUUGUUUGGGGAGCAGGUGUCAAAUAUCCCAAGCCAACUUCGAGCGAAAACCACACUGACCAUAGCUUUCGUUUUGUUGAUGAGCAUGCCCAUGAUAUGCCAACACCUUUAGAUUGGGGCCUGAAUGGCAUUGAAAGGGUGGAUGUAAAUCAAGCUGAUAUUGCACCACUAAUGGUCAUAUUUACCCCUAUUAAAUUGUGUGUUUUGAGCCUAAUUUUAUGCUUUGAAGUCUCCUAAAUAGUUGGUGGUAGUUGAUCGUUCUUUUCCCCCCUUUUGCAGUCUACGCUUCUUGGUUUACCAUGUCCUGUUAACUCAGUUGGAAAUUUACCUCUUGGAUAUCUUGAUAUGGUUGAGGUUGGUAUAGCUGACUUCUUUGUGAUAAAUAGCAAUGAAGAUUAUCAUCUGUACUUGCAGCUAUAGUAUUGUGCAGGGAAAGCAUACUGAUAAACAUAUGUCCUGUUAACUCAGUGGCAGCUGGAGGUUUUCUGGAGGGAUAUAUAUCUCUCUUAGUUGGGGGAGAAAAAGUUCAUCCUAUCAUUGCACAAACAUGAUUAUAUAGAAAAUAAAUAUUUGGAUGAUUAUUAACUUAAUUUUACUAUGUAAGAGUUACAAAUAUACUAAUAAUUCCUUUAUGGAAUACAAGAUAGGAAGGCCUUCCUAUGAAUCAAUGUACAUAUUAAUACCAUUUCAGAACGCUAUUGAUACCAUUAAUACCUAGCCAAGAAUAAUCCUGACCAUGAUGGAAAUAACAUUUAUAUAUGAAGUCCCCCUUUGUGUAUGCCAUGGCAUGCAGGAUCAUUUUUGGAAAAUUAUUAAAUUAAUAAACAAGUCUUACUGAAAGAGAAACUGAAUUUCCUAUCCUUUAUCCAGGCAGAAGAAGUUGAAGCCGUGCUAGCCAAUACAAAGCAAAUCCUCAACCAGUUUCUUCGCAAAUCACGUAUCCUUUUCUUUUAUCAAUUUUACAUGUCAUUUAUAUCACACACUUUUUCUUGCAACAGCAUUAUGUGUUCAAUUCCUUUUUGAAAAUCUAAAUUUGUUGCUUGUUUGGAUAUACCAAGUUUGUACGAUCUAUUUGCUUAUGAUGGUGUUACUUUGAGUACUUUAUUUUUCUUUAACUGAAAUUGUUAGCUUUAAUCAAUAUACUGUAUCUACUUCCUUUUGUUCGCCAAAACCUGUUAUUCAUUUAUCCACUGUAUAAUCUUAUUAGAGUUUGUGUUGCCCAUAAUAUCUUCAAAAUGUGUCAUCUUCGAUGCUCGUGAAGGAUGUGACUAAGCUUUCUGCUUUCAUUGGUUUUCUUGACAAACUUAGAAAUAAAACACUCAAACUCGUUAUAUUUCAAGCCUUUUAAACCACUGGCUGAAUAUUCCUAUAUGUUGGAACGCAUUGAGGAUCUGAUAUCUGCAAGAGACUAUCAAACUGCAAUGAUCCUGACCCAAAAGCUCAGAAGCUUGGCACUGCAAGGCCUUCAUUACUUUCAAACAUAUGAUUGGCUGAUGCUGAUGACAGUUGUUACUCUUGGGUACCUUGGUUGGAUGGUCUAUCUCAUUCUCCAUGUGCUGCAAUCUUAUACUUCACUGGCAGAGAACAUACUUAAGGAGCAAGCUGCCCCGUGGAAAAAUAAAACUGGAAAAGUAAUUUCUAAGUAAGCUUAACCUUUUAUAUAAGGUGUAUUUAUAUCAUUAUGAAAAGGUUAAAGGAUGAAGGGAAAUAAAAAAGAAAAGAGAAUCAUGUGCAAAUUUAUCAUGUUAAAGAUAAGCAUUUCUGGUUCCAUAGCUUGCUUUUAUGUUCAGUUUCAUUUAAUUUAGAACGUGAUGCAGUGGAUUUUGCAGUUAAUGCUGUCUUUUAAUUGAUACUACAAAGUUGCCCAAUCAAAUGAAGUUUAUAUAGGUUACAUUUUCUUUCCACAUCCAGAAUUUGAUGACUCUUGAACUUUCCAAGACUCAUGCUCCUAGUCACUUUAACUUCUGUUCCCUGUAGAUUGUGCUAGCUGAAAAAUAUUAUUUUUGAUGGGCAAGCACUCAGCUGAGAAGCAAUGUGAAAGUUAUUCUUUUGUGACUAACAUCUAGCAAGAGACAAGUACAAAAUAAUGUACAAAACUUCAGAGGAAUGAGGAAAUGCCAUCAGUAGUUAAAUAACUUUCAAUUGCAAAUUAUGUGCCACUCAUGAUACUUUCUUUUCCUUUAUCUUUAUAACCAUUUUCCUAACUGUAGAUAUUCUAAAUUUUAUAUAUUCUUUUUGCUUAUUAAGUUCUCAUUCCAAUAAAUAUUAUUGUCAUAUAACAGUAUGAUCUUCAUCUUAGUUGUCACGUAGCAGUAUGGUCUGCACCUUAAAAUCUUCUAGUGAUAAACAGGGAGAAAGCCAGAAAUCUUUAUCAAGGAGGGGGGCAAAAAUAGUUCUCAUGCAAAGCAUCUGCACACUUGCAAACACAAACAACAUGCAUAUAUUAAUAUUAAUUUUAUGAACAUGGAAAAUAAAGUCAUUGAUGCGUGUGUUUGUGUGUGUGUGAAAUAUAUUAAUAUUUGGGCUUUGAAAAAAAAAAAAUUUCUUAAUUUUUCAUAAUUAUCUACAAAAUUUUGCAAUUCUUAAGAUAAAAUUUGUUGAAUGGAACAAAUUAAGUAUUUAUUUUGUAAUAAAAAUGAUAAAUUAAUUAUUGAAGCAAUCCAAUCCCUAAUUUACAUUUUUUUUAUUUUGUUUUUCAUUUUUAAAUUUUUCACACAAUAAAACUAACCGGUCAAAUUAGUUAAGUGGGAGUUUAAUUUUUAAAAUUAUAGUGCUACUUCUUCAAUUUGGCAAAAAGUAAGGAGGCAAGUCUUUUUUUUUUAAAUUGUAGAUGUAGUACUUUGUAACUUUGCCAAAAGGUAAGGGGGGCACAUUAAGUGAUGAUUGGUUUUUUACAAAUUAAGUCAUGUUGAUCUUUGCUAUGUGGUUGUUCUGUUUUUUGAAACUUGCAUUGUGUAUCUGAUAUAGCUUGUUGUCUUUGCCUCUUUCGCAGGUGUAUGUGUUUGGAUGCCUAUUAAUGGGAGUAGUUUCUAUUAUAUUAUAUAUGGAGCACUCUCCUCCUCUGUACCAUGCAUAUGUUGCAAUGACAAUGUUUCUUUGGACCCAGAUACUCGGUGAAUAUCGGUUUGUAAAGGCAUUGUGGAAAAAUUUAAGUGGGAGAAAUUUUGAUCAUGCAAUUAAACUUUUAGCCACCUGUGCUGUAUCAAUUUUAAUCCUUGAAUUCCUGGUAUAGAAAUUAAACAUGCUACUGUUUUAUUGUGAUUUUAAGUGAGCUCAUUUGUUGAUUUAUCAUUAUUAGUGAUGCUCUUUCUAUUUUGUGCAGGUGAAUAGCUUCACAGAGAGGAAGCUCUACACUUGGUGCUUCUUAAUUUCAGGAACCAUAGCUUCUCUUUAUCUUUUCAAAUCAAUUCCAUGGAGAUCUCCAAUACCAAUUUUUGUUUGCAUUGCUUGUUGGUGUCUAUCUGUUUUUACUUUGAUGCCAGCGGAAAUUCCAGACAACAAUGAACUAGUGUAAGUCACUUUUGCACUCUUUUGAUUUACUAGGUCAAUAUAAUAUAGAGGCAUAAUUUGAUUAAAAUACUGUGGAAGUGGGAGUUGUUGUUAGGAUGAUGUAAAAUGCUUACUAUCUGAUCCCUUCCUCCUAUCUCGAUCACUACAUUGAUAAUAUGUGAAUCUUAAACUACAAGUCCACCACACAUUUGCCAAUGGUCUUUGGUCCACUGAUACUAGAGUUGUCCAGGGCUGAAAGGUUAUAAAUUCGAGCAGUAGUUGGGUUCUUAUAGACGAUAGCUUUAUUGGCAAAAAAGUUUUGAGAUCCUAUACUGGCAUUGAUCCUGUGGUCCCCGAAACUCUGCUAUGAUAAGGUAUCUUGAUAACGUUAAGCUAUCACUAAAAGAGAAAAUCUUUAGUAAAACUACUUUUGCCGAAUAAUAAGGUUACUUUUCAGCUAAAGAAAUUUUUUUGCGGAGCACAAUCUGAAUUAGCUGCCAAAAUAGGUAAUCCAUACAUCAUGUUUUGUCAGUUGUGGUCUUCCUGAAAUCUAAUUCUGGAACUUUGAAGCUCUUAAGUAAUCCAACAACAAUGUUGGUUUGACUACUUUUGUCCAUUAGUUGCUAUUUCUUUCAUGGCGAUUGAACUUUUUAGAUGACUGUUCAAAAUUGUGUUUCUAGAAUUGCAAGUGGAGCUAUUAUUGUCACAAUUGGAGCAGCUGCUAGAUGGCUAGAUCAGCAUUCUGAAGGGAAUAAGUAUUGGUCAAGUCUGUGUUGUCAUGAAACAAAGAAACCCAGGCUCCCCAUGCUUUUUCAUGCACAGGUAUGGCUUGUCUUUAACUUCUGUUAAUUAGAAGAUUUUAUAGUUUCUCAACAAAUCUAGAAGUAAAUUCAUUCUUUUGCAUCAAAACUAGGCUCUGUUGGUUGGAUUAUCAUCAAUCAUGGUGUCAUUAUCAACAUCUCACAGAACAGAGAAGCAAGAGCUGCAUGCAUUACACCAGUUAAUAAAUUGGUCUCUGGCUGGUAAUGCUUUAACACUUCCAUCUUUCGCCCUUAUAAAUGCUAUAAGUGGCUUUUGUUUGUGCAGUCUGGGUUAAAUAUCAGCUUAUACAUUACAUAAUGGCUGUUAUGUAUCGGAUUUUCAGCCUACCAAUAUGAUAUUUCCCAUUAUGCAGGUUAUUGGAAAUCACAUAUACUUUUUAAAUAAAUUUUUGUAAUAAAUUAUUUCUUUGACCAUAAAUUAUCGAAUAAUUCAUUUAAUAUCUAUUUGAGUUUUGCUAAAUUUGAAAAAAUUAUUCAUGAUAGUGGCAGCUGACAGUCCAAUUCAAUCUUUUUCCAUUAAGUAUUUUCUGAUUCCGUCAUUUAAAACCUCAGUACAAACCCAAAAAUGUUGUGUGAAACUUUUGUCUUGUAUCAUUUUAACAAAUACUAUCAUUCCUUCCUACAGCUGAAUCUUAAUAACAAAUGUAUGUAAUGAUAUCAUUAUCUAAGAAUUUUUUAUUUUUAUUGUUUAUUUUUCACUUCCUUAUAAAGACAUAUGGUGGUGCACUGGCUAACUUUUAUUUUUCACUAUCAAUCAGAUCCUAUGUGCGGUCUUUAUGUGUCAAUUUGAGCUUGUAGAUAGAAGCUUUCUGGCUUGGUGGGAAGACGGGUUUGUUAAGACACUCUUUAUGAAUACAGAAAGCAUAAAAAUUUAAAUGGCAAGUAAAAUCAAGGAAGAAAGAGGGGAUGGUGGUAUUGAAAUUUUAAACUCAGAAAAACCUUAAUGGAAGAGGGUUUAUUAACUUACAAAAUUUGCAUAUUUUAGAAUAUUUCUAGCAUUCAUUUAGCUUAUGGUCUGCAUUAGCUGGCAGCAAGAAUAGACCAAAUGGCUGCACCUCCUAACUUGUUUGUGGGUUUGAUGAAAGAGUUGCACUUCUUUCCUUUGACAUGCUAGGUUUUGGGUGUUGAUCCCACAACAGCCUCCUGCCAGACCAAGCAUGUUUUUUUGAAGAGUUCUUUAGUUUUACUUAUCCAUUUUCCUUUCUUUUAGCUUUUAUAAAUGCUAUGAUAUCAUACUUCACGAAUUUAAUUUGAAUGGCAUUUCAUUUGUUGAUUAACACUCACUUAUAAUUGUAUUGUUAUAGGUUUCUCAAUGGUUCUCCCGCUUUUCUCAGAAAAUGGCCUAUUGUCACGACUCACUUCUAUUUUUCUUGGUUUUGCACCAACAUUCCUGCUUUUAUCUAUUGGGUAUUUAUGAUUUCAAAGCUAAUGCUUGUUUUACACUUUCAUGGGUGUGCACAAUGGUAAGAUAUGCUUAUGCCUUUUGCCUCCCCUUUUUUUCUGCCUUGUGAAAUACAUGCAGAUAUGAAGCUGUCUUCUAUGGUGCACUUGCUCUUGUACUUAUGGCAUGGAUACUAUUUGAGAACACACUUCUUCACUUAACGAAGGUGAAAAAAUCAUCAUACAUUAGAAACAUGGAUGAACAUGCUACAUUGGAAAAUGAUAGAUGCUUGGAACUUUCUGAUGUGAGAAUUCCAUUAAUUUUUGUAAGUCUUAAUACUUGCUUCUUAUUUUUCUCUUUCUAUUUCUUCACAUUAUUUGGUUAAACAAAUAACUGCAUGAAUGCACUGACUUUCUUGUUGUGUUAGAAUCUUCCAUCGGCACAAGAAAGCAAAUAUUUACUUUGAUACAUCCUCGUCGUCUUCUUGAUAUUCUGUUCACUGACGAAAUAUGGAUUUGAUGACUCGUUUUUUCAGAUGGUUUUGUUUAAUGUUGCUUUCUUUGGGACGGGAAAUUUUGCAAGUAUUGCAAGCUUUGAGAUAUCAUCUGUCUAUCGGUUCAUCACUGUCUUCAGUGUAAGUGAAGAUGACACUUGAGAGAUUCAAAUGGUUUUAGUUUUGAGAUCUGAUAACUGAUAUUAUCUGAUUUGAAUUGCAGCCUUUUCUGAUGGCAGCCCUUCUUAUUUUCAAGUUAUUCAUACCAUUCAUGCUUGUCAUGUAAGUAAUUUUUUAUGCUACACCUGUUCACUGGAUAAUUUUGGAAACAAAAGGGGCCUCUUUGGAAAAUCAAUUUCUAAUUUGUAAUAUCUUGUGUUAAAAUAGCAAGGAUUCAAUGGCAUAAUCUUGGUAAUUAUUUAGUUUGGUUUGACCUCCAAUGGGUAUAGUACUAAUUAGCAGGUUUUAUAGAAAUAGCUACACAGCUAUGAUAUUGGUCCACAUUUUCUUUUAGUUUUUAUCAGUUAAAAUCAACCUUUCAAGUUGGUCUUCUACUCCUUUCCUUUUCUUUUCUUCUGAUAAAUGAUUUAAUCUUCCAUUCAUUUAAAAGACAUAAGACACAAAACGUCCAAAACUCAUGAAAGAAUGAAGGUUUACAAAGAGAAAGAUUUAGACGCUCAAGGAGUUUGGAGCAACAGAAAUAUUAUUGACAAGCAUAAACUGUCAGUUGUAAGACAAUAUUUGAUUAGAAGUGGUUUAUCUAAUGUUGAAGGCCCAUUUUGACAUUAAAGGCUUCAUUUUAUAGUAGCUCAUCUGAGCUAUAUAUCUUGCAACCUAUUAUGCAAUCCCAUAGUUCACUCGUUUCUUUUCCCUGAGAAAACUAUGCUUUUACUGUAUGUGGAAACUUUUCCUUUUGUCCCUCUCUCGUUACAAUUGCUUAAGCUAUUCAAGAAAUUAAGUUUUCUCUAUGAGGAAUCUAAAGAUAAAGUUGUAGGUAUUGUUUGGCAGGAGACUGAAAAAAUGGAAAAUUGUUAUAUGGUUGAUUGAAUCAUAGGAAAGUAAUGGAAGGAGACAGAGUGUAAUGGAAUUAUGCUUUAAAACUUGAAAAGCAAAAUAUGGAUGGCAUUUUAGAAAGGAAGAACAAAGUUUUCUCAAAUGCCCUCUCAGUUAUAUUUAGCCAAUCAAUUUUGAUUCUAGGCAACAAGAUUUUGCAUGUGAAAAUCUUUCUAUGAAUAGAUGUUGCAACUCAAAAUUUAUGCCCAUUUCCAAGUGAAAUAAUUACAAUUUUUCUUAUUCAGUAAAAUAUGCUCUAUGGUUUUGUUGACUGAAGCAUAUUGAUUGCCUUUAUUAUUAUUUUGUCUUCAUUCCCGUAAUAUCUCUGUCACUCUGAGCAUCCAAUUAACCACCUGCGGCUGAUGAGCUACUUGCUAAUAGAAUGUUUUGCUCUUUGGAGUUUUUGAAAUCUGAAAAUUUGGUUGAUUUCCUUUCAAAUGUACCUAACCACUAAGGUAAGGUGUGGCAUUUUCAGGUGGGAAACAGUCUUUUUAAUUUGUUUGUGCAGCCUAACUUUGCAUUUGGAUAAGUUUCUAAUAUGGAGUUGUUUGCUUAUGUGUGCAUCGUACGUAUAUACACACUACUGUUUUUGGUUGAGAUGACAAAUGUCAAUUGGUGCACAAUGCAGAUGUGUUUUCAGUGCAAUAACCAAACUUCUUCGAGUUCCACGGUUGGGAUGUUAUUUUCUGGUUAUAUUAUUUUCAGACGUGAUGACUAUUCACUUCUUCUUCCUGGUAUGAUUUCUGCUCACUCUGGCAGUCUUUUUGAUCUAAUUAUUUCUAGUCUGGUUGAUUUGCAUCAUACUUGUCAAGUUACUUGGCAGCAACUUGUUUAAAGUACAUGAACUAUAUGUUAUGUAUGCAUAUACUUAUGGAUGGGUGUCUCGCUUGUUGGGAUGGGGACAUAUUCAUGUUAACAAGGACUUAGUUCCUCAACAAUUUAAUCUCUGACUACAUGAUUUUGCUUUUCGACUGUUCAACUAUAUAUGCAUACCUGAGCUUGAUUUCAAGCUGCAUGUUAUUUGCAUACUCAGAAAGUGAAACUCCAGAUUUUUAUUAUUUUAGGCUAUAUGUCGAUCGCCAAGCAUUGCGCUCCAAACUUUUGCCGAUAAACACUUCACUUAAACUUUCUUUGCUGUCAAGACUUUGAGAAGAGAGUCAACUAAAAUCAUUCUUAUUGAUUUAGAGAAUAUGAAAACACCAUUACCAUUUUUUCAUUCUUGAAAACUUACUGACUUUGUAUUCCUGAUGACAGGUUCGAAACACGGGAAGCUGGAUGGAAAUCGGUAACAGCAUCAGCCAUUUUGGAAUUAUGAGUGCUCAAGUUGUAUUUGUGCUAUUACUUUUUGCCCUCACAAAUGUAUACACAAAAGACAUCCAAAUUAGGUCAGACAGCUCAUCCUCUAGGAAAGCAGUGUAAGUCACCUUGAAAUUAUAAAUUUUGGACAUCACAAUUGACGAUAGGUGACCUUUUCCAUUCUUACAGUAAAGAUUAAGAGCUGCAAGCUGCAUAACAAUCGAUUCUUUUUAACCCCUACUUCCUGUGUCAUUAUUGUCUCUCUCUCUCUCUCUCUCUCUCUCUCUCUCUCUCUCUCUAUAUAUAUAUAUAUAUAUAUAUAUGUAAAAUUUUUUUCCAGGGUUACGAAAUGUGGAAAUUGGUUCAUAAUACUUGUCAUAUUUGAGAAAGUAGUUUAUUCUAAAAUACUUGUCAAAUUUAUAGUUUCAAGGAGUAAUAAUUUUUUUUUUUUUUCUCUUUGUAUAUGACCAAUAAUUAUUAUUUUAUCUUAAUGGUUUUCAUAGAGAAUUAGUAUUAAAUUAAGAGUAAUAUAGUGAAUUUAAUCGAUAAUUUGUAAUUUAAACAAAUUUUAUAGUUUACUUAAAAAAUUUGAAAUUCCAAAUAUAAUAAGUAUUAUGAAAUAGAGGUAGUAGUUACUUAUUUUUUGUAUUUAUUGGAAUAUUGAGCUGCAGUUAAUUCUUGCAUUAAGCAUCUGUUGGGCAACUAUCAUGUUAAAAUACUAUUUAUUUUUGAAGAGGACUUAAUUUAGUUUUUAGAGUUAGAAGAAAUGAAUGUCGGAACUAUUAGUUAUUAAAAUAGCUAAUAACUAUAAAAAUAACUAAUUUCGCCGAAUUAAUUAGUUCUAGAUAAACCAAAACGUUAUUAACUUAUAAUCAUGACUUGCUUGAUCAAAAAAUGUGGAAAGCAAUGCAAGUCUGGCAACAUUGUUGAGAAAAGAACUAAACGACAAUUAAUUACUAGUCAAUGAACAGUCAACAAUAAGAGAAAAUAACUAAAUGACAAUUAAUUACUAAUCACUGAACAAUCAACAUUGUUCAGAAACAUCCCAGAAAUAUCCACGGUGGUCAAGGUCUAGGUCUUCUGUUCUUCUACCAUGCACUCACGAGGAAGCAGCUUCUUCUUGUACCAAUUUACCCAUACAACUUUCCUUUAAAGAAAAAAAAAGAAAAAAAAUUCAAACACAAAACCCAACUUUAUAAUAAAUUUUAAUCUAAUUUCUUAAUAUUUUCUCUCUCUGAUUAUGAGCAUUCACAAUAUUAUUUGGAAAUUAAAUUUCGCCAAAGUUACUUUUGCAUUCUUACUCUUUAGUCCUUUUUAAAGUAACUCCUUUAAUUACUAAAAUAUUAUGAAUAGGCUUAAUAUGUUAAUUCAAACAUGUCACACAUAAAUGAGGAAAAAUUCAUUGUUGGUUACUCAUACAUGAAUUUAUAACUUUCACAAGCAAAAAAUCUAUUCCCAAAUGCAUAAAUUCAUAUCUAAAUUUGUAAUUUUAAAUCUUAUGUCACCCUAAAUUUUAUUGAUAAUCUAUUGUAUAUUUAAACAGGUAAAUUUUGAUAAUAUUACACAUAUUUUCAUACUAAUAAUAAUAUUAAUAAUUUUUAGAAUUUUUUAUUUUUAUAUAUAAAAUAUUGAUUUGAUACGUAGUUAGCAUAACUAUAGACACAAUAAAUUUCACAUUUUUAAUUAUUUAAUUGAUUUAAUUUUUCAAAUUAAAUUGUUUAAUUCGAUAUUUAUAAUUUUAUAAAUUGAAGUGUAUGAACGGAAAUUCCCACGUUACAGUCUAUAUAUAUAUAUAUAUAUAUCUAUANNNNNNNNNNNNNNNNNNNNNNNNNNNNNNNNNNNNNNNNNNNNNNNNNNNNNNNNNNNNNNNNNNNNNNNNNNNNNNNNNNNNNNNNNNNNNNNNNNNNNNNNNNNNNNNNNNNNNNNNNNNNNNNNNNNNNNNNNNNNNNNUAUAUAUAUAUAUAUAUAUUGACCUGCACGUUGACUUAGUCUCCUAUAAAUUACUGCUGAGUUUGGAAAUGCAUUUCAAUCUCGUUGUCAAGCAGACCUCAACCAAAGAAAUGAACCAACUUUCGUCGUAUGUACAACGUUCUCAUCUUUACUUGUUUUAAGCAAUAAUUAUUCUUUGCUUCUUUUAACCAACAAUUACAGAAAGACAAGAAUUCAUCACUUUAUUACUUCUUAAAGUUUAAGUUCUUUUUCUUUUUUUUCUUGUGUUGUUGUUUGCAGAUUUACCGGUGGAUUAGAACUGGGAAAUUUAGUGGUUGGUUCUAAUUUACUCUGUUUUUCGUGGGCUGCAAUCUCUGCUCUUCAAGCUGAACUGAACCAGUAUCAAGAUCAGCAGUCUUUAUCUCUGAGAUGCAGAGUUUAUAAACGAGCAAAUUAUACCAUUGUUGCUUUGAUAACUUCACCUUCUUGUACGAUUCAUCAUCUUCACCAGCUAGGGGGAGAUUUGGUUUCAUCUGAAACUCUUAAGGAAAAUAACUUUACUCUGUUUGAAUUUUUAUGUUCUAAAGGAAACCCAUCAUUCUCAAUUCAUAGAGCAGCAAUUACCCUCUUUUACCAAUAUUUAAGUGAUCUCUCUCAACUGAAAGAUCAGGUACCUUCUGUUUUUAUACUCGCUAAGUUUGUUUAAUUGGUCAAGCUCAUUCUUAAUAAAUAUCAAUGUUUUAAAUAUUAUUUGAAGUUUAAGAGGAGGCUGAUUAGAGAUUUUUGAUUGUGUGUGUGCGUGUAUUAUGUAAAUUAGUUGGAAGAUUGAUUACUGACUUGUUCUCAUUUUAUUUUCUUUUCUCGAGUGAAUGAUAUGUUAGUUGCUCUUUCUCUAGAAACAUCAAAUGACUGAAUACAAAACCGGUUAAUUAGAGAUUUUUGGUACAUGGGUUUUUUUGAAUGAAUUGCUAUCAAGAAAAACACCAUAUUAGAAAUGUUAAUUCAGUCCUUAAAAUUUGUUUUUUGGGGUAAAUUUCACUCAUUUUAAUCAUAGAAGCUUCAAGAUAGCUAAAAACAAAACACUUCCAAACUACUUCUCCAGCAACAUUAAAAAUUGAGUUUUUCUAAAAGAUCAAAUUCAACUCCAAUUCCAAAGAGACUAUAUAUGUUGUCUUAGUUGAAAGAUUGGUCAAUGACUUGUUCUCAUUUAGUUGUUCUUUUCUUGUGUUUAUGAUUUGUUAGUUAGUCGAUUCAACCACUGGUCAAUUAUUAACAGACACUCCAUUGAUUAUUACUGGAAACUCUUUGGGUGGAUCAAUAGCUUCUUUGUUUAACUUAUGGCUGCUAGAAAGUAUCGAUCGAUCUUCCACCAGGCGUCCUCUAUGCGUCACAUUUGGUUCACCUUUGAUUGGCAACUUAGGCCUUCAAGGAGCCAUUUUAGAGCGACCUACAUGGAAUUCUUGCUUCUUUAAUGUGGCUGCCAAUCAAGACCCAGUUCCAAGCCUAUUUGUCCCAUCAAUCUCUCCUCAACCUUUAGCCUCAACUCCACAAACUGUUCUUUAUAGGCCUUUUGGUCCAUUUCUCUUAUGUUCUGAAUCAGGAUGUACUUGUGUUGAUGACCCUGAAGUAGUUUCUCAUUUAUUAGAAGUAAUGGGUUUGGAAAGUAGAAGAAGUCAAGUUUCUGCUGAAUAUGGAGCAUUAGUGGAGAAUCUAAAAGAAAGAUUUAUCUUGAGAGGAAGUUCAUUGCUUGGUAUAUCGGGCAUGGAUGCAGGCAUAUUUCUACAGCUAGAAGCAAUUGGAGAUAAAAGGAUCCAGGUAACUGAAUCUUGCCCUAAUAAGCUAUGCUUUUUACAUAUUUUGUGAAUAGAACCGAAGAAUGACUUUAACACACUAUUAACUUACCAGAAGUUUCUUACUUACUGUUAAAGGAGCGCAUAUAGAAAUGAUAUUUAUGACUUUCUGCUAAUGCCAAAGGGCUUGAGAAUUUCUGCUCAAGUAACAAUCUGAUGUCUGUUUUCCCGCCUAUUUCUGCUAUAUGCUUUUGGAUUUUCAGAAAGCUAGAAUUCAAUCCAACUUUUUUUUCUCAUCUUCUUAGCAGCAACAGCAGCACGACAUGGACAUUGCUGACUUGAUUAAAAAAUUGAAACAUAGGGAAAGAAUUUGUGUUUUAACUAAAAGGAAAGGCUUGAAUCGGAGCAGAAAACUAAAUGAUAUAAAGAUAAAAAUGGCCUACCUAGAAUGGUACAAGAAGAGUUGCAACACUAUCCCAAAAAAAAACAAGAAGAGUUUCAAGGCUGACUUAAUAGGUUACUAUGAUAGUUAUAGAGACCUUCUUCAGUGUCAUGACAAAAAGGUUACUAUGUAUAAGAAAUUUCUUACAGCAUAUUGGGAAGACAUGGUGGAAGAAGCCGAGAAAAAGCCUCACAAAGAAGGAUCAUUCUUACUUCUGACCUGGCUUUUUGCCGGAACAAAUUAUAGAAGAAUGGUUGAACCUCUUGAUAUAGCAGAGUACUAUAGAGCUGGCAAAAGAAACUACGAGAGUCAAGGAAGGUCUAAACAUUACAUUCUAUUGGAGAAGUGGGCAAAAGAGGGUGCAGAGAAACCUGCAAGUGCUCCAACGAACAAAAAGAAACAAAAUGUGGCUGGUAUAUUGACAGAGGAUUCUUGCUUCUGGGCAAAGGUGGAGGAAGCUCUUAUUUCAAGUGAAUUGUUGAAAGAUGCAACAUCCAGUGUAAUAGACAAACAGUCAUCAAGAGAGUACCUAAUUAACUUUGAGGCUUAUCUAAUGGAACAAAUCAAGAACUAUGCAGUAUCUCCAGAGAUUUUCUUGCAAAAAAGCACUUUUAUGAAAUGGUGGAGUGGGUUUCAGGAAAUUGCCUCUAAUGCUUUACUCAUUGACUUUAUGAAGAAUUGCAGAUAUGUCCAAUAUGAGAAAGGAUGCUUUUAGCUCUCACGCUGAACCUAGAGUCCUAGAUUGUACUUGGUUGAUCAAAAUAAAUAUGGGUGUUUAAUCUCAGAAUUGAGUGAUAUGAAAUGUCUAUGUGAUGAUCUCUCUUUCCUUUCCUCUUUAUCUAUUCAAUCUGUUUUUUAAAUUUUAUACCUUUACCAUUUAAUUUUUUGGCAACCAUCAUUCAAAGAGAUGAAGUUUUAGGAGAGUUUGAAAUAGUGAAGCUUAAUUGUUCUAGGCUUCUAGCAAUAGUGAAGCAUUGAUCGCUUCGCUUGUGCAGCUGCUAAACAUAAUUCAUUUCCCAUCUCCACAGAGUCGGUAACAAGUUGCUAUGUGAAGUUAAAAAUUUUAAUAAUCCUUCCUCUUGUUGAAGAAAUGGUUCCAAUGAGUUAUCUUGUUCAAGAAAGGUGAAAUCAAGGAUUCGUCUAUGAUUGGAUAUUACAGGCUUUUUAUCAUGUUGUGACGUGGUUUGUACUUGUGUUUUUAAAGAUUCUUGCUAGGAAGAUCAAGUAGUUUUUGUGUCCUUUCACUUUACUGUUAGUGAUCAAACAGCUUCUGUAAAAAGAGUAGAGCAGAAAAUGUUUGUACUGUUACAGGGUCAAGUUCUGCAGAUGCAUUAUCAAGAAACUCAAAGGUGAAUUCAUGAUAAAAGCCUAAGAUUCAGUUGCUUAGGAUUCUUCAAGAUUUUGGAAACUAAUGGUAUUUGAUAUAAUGAAAUUUGCAAACAAGAAUUAACAGAAUUUGAGAGAGUUUACGGAAUAAAUGAGUACUUUUUUUAAAAAAAAUUUGUUAGAGCCUUUUAUCUGCAGAAAUAAUACUGCGGGCUAUACAAUAUAUAUAACGGACAACCAUUACUUGACUGAACAUAAUAAAACUACUACCUCUCACUCCUAAAGUAAAUAAAAAAAUCAAUCAAACCAUUACCUAAUUAGCAUAAUAAAUGAGUACUUCCACUGAGCAUUAAUUAUUUUUUAAAUGGUCAAGUAUCAGUCUGUCAAUACUCAGUAAUAUUACCAUCAGUAUCCAUAUUUUACUUUGGUAUAUUGGAAGAAACCCGUUGAAAGAAAUGGGAGAGUUUAGCUGUUCACCUACUACUCUGUGAAACUGAAACAAGUGCUCAAUGACAUGGCAAUAGUUCAAUUUAUCUCUCAAUUAGGUUAUUUUAAAUUUGUCCAUAUUCAAUUCCUCAAACAAAAAAAAAAAAAAAAAAAAAUUGUCCAUAUUAAAUAUAUAUAUAUAUAUAAUAAAUAAUAUAUUUUUUCAUUUUUUGUAAUUUUGCUGUAUGGAACUUUUUCCAUGUAACGUAAGAUGUAUUUUGUCCUUUUAAUCCUAUUAAAAUGAAUCAAUACAAUAUUGAGUUGGAAUUUGGCUGGAUUUGAUUGGUUGGUUGUCGUUUUGCUUCUUUAUAUAUAUAUAUAUAUAUAUAUAUAUUAAUAAUCACUCUCUAUUCCAUUGUUGAGAUCCUCUGUGCAACACACUUCCUAUUCUACCUGCACUACAACUAUCAUCUCCUUCACUUUUCUCUCUUAAUUUUUCUUCCGAAAAUAUUUUCAUUAACUAACUAAAACAUGGACUCUACAUAUUUACAAGUCUAAGAAAAAGCUCAAUUUCCAAUUAAUUAAUUAAUCAAAGCCCAUAAAAAUAAUAACAAGCCCAAUUUUCAAUUAAUUAGUCAAAGCCCAUAAAAAUCAUUUUAUGGGUUUAACACCAAAUUUUAGUAUUUUGAAAGUUACUAUAAACGUGGAAUACAUUGUUUAACUCUCGAAUUUUGAUAAAAAAAUAUUGAGACACUUUAAAUUUUAAAAUCGACCUUCUGAAAUUCACAUUGUCACCUUUUAUAAUAAUUUUUACACCACUUUCCACUAGUAACAAUAAUUUUAAAAUUUUUUACUUUUAUAUGCAAAAUAUUAAUUUGAUCUUUGAUUUAUAUAUCUCUUGAAAUAAUAAUUUUUAUAUUUUUAACUAUAUUAAGCAUGUUAAUCAAUAUAAUUUUAUAAAAUUAAAGUGUAUAAUAAAUAUAAUUCAAUAAGCUAAAAUAUUUAACAUGUCAAAAUAAAAUUUAAAAGUAUGAUAAAACUUUUCAUAACAAGUGUAGAAUGUAUUGAGCUAGAUUUAAAGACAGGGAAUCCACAAAUAAUUUGAAUUAAGUAAAAAUAUGGACACCAAACUAUUGAAGAUUUGCAAAAGAAUAAAAUAUUGCAUAAAAUAUGUUAGUCAGUAUCCUGUUUCAAAAUUUAAAUCGUUUAAUGUUUUUACAUAAAAAUCGAUAAAGCAAUUAUUCUUUAAAUUACAAUAAAAUCAAUAGUAAUUAGAUCAAAUUACUUUUUAUUUCAAAAUUAAUAUUAUAUCUAAUAUAAAUAAAGAUAAAAUUGAAAAAAAAAAUAUUAUUAAUUAAAAUAUUUAAAAUUACUUAUAUUUUAAGAUAAAAAAAAAAGAAUAUUUUUGUCAAAGAGACAGAGAACUAGAAAGGAUAGACAUCAAUCAUCCACAGAAGAAGCUACGAAAAUUAUGAUAUGAGCUCACAAAUCACAACUAAGAAACAGGCAAAUGUGGACCAUAGUUUGGCAAAAUUGUAGCUGUGAAUAAGCUGUAACCAAAAUGAGCUGUUUAAGUUAAAUUUUGGCUAUAAAGUAUAAACUAACCACAUGCUUUUUUUCAAAAGGUGGGACCACUCUUGCACAUGCAAAUGUCCACCUCAUUGAUCAUCUUUUUUUUUCUUUGAUUUUCCCAAUGCCUUCGUUUUUUUCCUAUAGGGAUUUUCCUUUUUCACCUUCUGCUGCUGCUACGGUACAAGCAGUAGAAGUAGAAGACAAUAUCUUUUUGUUUCAGUAAUAGUUUAUAUAAACAGGACAAGGGCAAUGAAUUUUGAAAGGACACUUUUUAUGAGCUCCAAAUCAAGGGUAUGAUUGAACAAGUCAAGUCAAUUUUGUGCUCCAUGUGUGAGUUAAGAGUGAGCAUUUGCAUUGAGUUAAACCGAACCGGAAAAACUAAAUUUCUAAAAUAAUAAUCAAAAAAAGAAUAAGUAUAUUUUUAAUGGUGGUUCAACAAAAACCACAGAGCAUUCGGCUACUUUAUGGUAUGGAAAAGGAACCUGACCUAACAAAAGAUAAUUUGGUUUUUUUUUUUUUAUUAUUAAAAAUGAACCAAAUUAAUUAAAGGUUUGAGAUAAUUUAUAUCAUUUGACUCUAUGACGUCAUUCUCGCUCGAGGGCGCCCUUGAGAAAAAUCCGUCACCAAUUCAACCAAAAAGUAAAGUUCAAAGAGAAUAAUGGUGAGGAUAUUGUUGUUAGCAGUGGGGAUCAAGGUCCACCACCUAAAUUAUCCUUUAAGGAUUGUCUGUUAAUGGAACCUAGCGUGAGUGUGGAAUCUAGGGCAAGCUUAAACCCGCACUUUGAGAAUACUGAAAGUGUAACAUCCCUUCCCAGUCCACCCGUUAACUCAAAUGAACCGAGCCAAGACGCUACAAUCUGGUUGACCCUAUGUCCUUUCAUGCUAAUAUCAUUCUGUGUGCUGAAUUCGGCCCGACUUGACUCGACUCUAUGCAACGACUCAAUUCAGUAGGAUGUCACAGAAUGUGAUAGUGACGCGGACAAGGACAUGGCGAAUGGGGAUGAUACUUCGAGUAUUAAUAGUCAGGAGGAGGAAGGUAGAGCUAGCCAUGAUGAUGUUCCUAACGAUAGCCAGAACACUAGUUGGAGUGUGGAGGAUAUUAGGGUGGAUAGCUUAGGGCCCUUUCUACAGAUUACCCUUUCGGAUGAGGCUAGAGAUCUUAUUUGUAGGACUUGGCGGAAUGCUGUCGUUGUCAAAUUGUUAGGAUGAAAUAUAGGCUAUAAGGGUUUCUACACAAUGAUUCAAGCUUUGUGGAAACCUUUUAGUGGAUAUAAAGUUAUUGACCUAACUAAUAACUUUUUCUUGCUCAACUUUGACAGACCUUCGGAUCUUUAUAUGUCCUCCUAAAUGGGCCGUGGUUGAUUUAUGGCCAUUAUUUGAUUGUACAACCUUGGAGUCCGUAGUUCUGCACCAAAGAUGACACGCUUUCGUCAAUGUGGCUUUGGGUUCGUUUUCCUGACAUGCCAUUACACUAUUAUAACAAAAGGGUCCUAAGAACUAUAGUUGGAUGUGUGGGGAAACUUAUGCAUAUAUACUACAAUACAGAGGAGUUAAAAAGAGGUAAAUUUGAUAGAGUGGCUGUGGAGAUUGAUUUGAAAAAGCCAUUAGUAUCCAAAUUUGAAAUUGAUGGGCAUACUCAAAAGAUAGAAUACAAAUAUUUGCAGAAUAUUUAUUUCACGUGUGGUUGCUUUGGUCACACAAGGGACAAAUGUCCUAAGAUUUUAACUACAGCUCCAAUGGAGGAUGGUAGUAAUGCAUGCAUGCAACCAGUACCUCCUGUUGCAGGUCAUAGGGCUGAUAGUGAAUUAUUUGGGGAAUGGAUGGUGGCUCCAGCCAAGCGUUGGGGAAGAGCUUCCAACAAGGAAAGUGCAAGGCGAUUGGAUCCUAUCAUUGCAGUGCAGAAUAAGGACGAUCUUGGGUUUCGCUUUUAGAUUUUGGCUAACCUUCCGCACGAGGAUAAAGAUGUGCAAGAUAUGGAAGAUAUAAGGAUUCCUAGUGCUAUCAGUCAUGGUAGCAGGCGGGAUUCUAGUCCUACUGUCUCUAGAGUGAUGGACUCUCAAUUGUCUCUGGAUUAGACCAAUCGUGUAAGGGCCAAGCCCAUCAAGGUACCCCGACUAGACAUAAAUAAGAGAAAGGAGAAAGAACAUGGGGGGAUAGCCUAAUGGUUUGAUGUGCAAGCCACUAUAGUCCUGAAGCCUACAUUUGACAAUGAUCCCAUUUAGAAUUCUAAUUGGAUUAAUGUUCCUAUUUCUUUAAAUGAGAAUCAUACUGCUAUAGCCAUCAAGGAUUCCUUGGCCUAUAGUUUACCAGCUAUGGCUAAGGGGAAUAGUCAAGAGCUCUCUUUAGAUCUCCCACUUCGGUCUGAACUUUUUAAUUUUAACAAACGAUCUCCAGAUCCUAGGAAGGGCACAUGAAUGAAGAGCAAAAGGCCUACUUUCAAACGUAAACCUCCCCUUCCUACCCUAGCGGAUUUUGUUCCCUUAGGAGAUGCUAUGAAGAAGAUCUCAGAGAAUUUGCAUAUUGCAGGUCAAGAGGGAGCAGCAUCCAUUGAUGAUACCAUAGAAGAGUUUGAUAAGGAAGCCGAGGAUCAAAGGGUCCCUAAUUCUCAAUAAUUGGUUUUUAUGGAGUUCGAAUUCCUUGUGUGGAAUUGCCAGGGGGUAUCCAGUAAAAGGUUUAGUCGGGUUGUUAAAGAGUUAUUGCCAUGCACAACAUCUCUUUGUUAGUAGUCGUGGAAACCAGGAUUAGUGGUGUUACAGCAGAUAAAGUUAUCUCGAAUUUAGGGUUCCCUUUCUCUCAUAGGGAUAAAGCGUGAGGUUUAUCGAGUGGCAUUUGGGUUUGUGGAAGUCAAGUUUCUGUUCUAGUUACCCAUAAUCAGUUUAUUGACCCUAUGUCCUUUCAUGCUAAUAUCAUUCUGUGUGCUGAAUUCGGCCCGACUUGACUCGACUCUAUGCAACGACUCAAUUCAGUAGGAUGUCACAGAAUGUGAUAGUGACGCGGACAAGGACAUGGCGAAUGGGGAUGAUACUUCGAGUAUUAAUAGUCAGGAGGAGGAAGGUAGAGCUAGCCAUGAUGAUGUUCCUAACGAUAGCCAGAACACUAGUUGGAGUGUGGAGGAUAUUAGGGUGGAUAGCUUAGGGCCCUUUCUACAGAUUACCCUUUCGGAUGAGGCUAGAGAUCUUAUUUGUAGGACUUGGCGGAAUGCUGUCGUUGUCAAAUUGUUAGGAUGAAAUAUAGGCUAUAAGGGUUUCUACACAAUGAUUCAAGCUUUGUGGAAACCUUUUAGUGGAUAUAAAGUUAUUGACCUAACUAAUAACUUUUUCUUGCUCAACUUUGACAGACCUUCGGAUCUUUAUAUGUCCUCCUAAAUGGGCCGUGGUUGAUUUAUGGCCAUUAUUUGAUUGUACAACCUUGGAGUCCGUAGUUCUGCACCACAGAUGACACGCUUUCGUCAAUGGUGGCUUUGGGUUCGUUUUCCUGACAUGCCAUUACACUAUUAUAACAAAAGGGUCCUAAGAACUAUAGUUGGAUGUGUGGGGAAACUUAUGCAUAUAUACUACAAUACAGAGGAGUUAAAAAGAGGUAAAUUUGAUAGAGUGGCUGUGGAGAUUGAUUUGAAAAAGCCAUUAGUAUCCAAAUUUGAAAUUGAUGGGCAUACUCAAAAGAUAGAAUACAAAUAUUUGCAGAAUAUUUAUUUCACGUGUGGUUGCUUUGGUCACACAAGGGACAAAUGUCCUAAGAUUUUAACUACAGCUCCAAUGGAGGAUGGUAGUAAUGCAUGCAUGCAACCAGUACCUCCUGUUGCAGGUCAUAGGGCUGAUAGUGAAUUAUUUGGGGAAUGGAUGGUGGCUCCAGCCAAGCGUUGGGGAAGAGCUUCCAACAAGGAAAGUGCAAGGCGAUUGGAUCCUAUCAUUGCAGUGCAGAAUAAGGACGAUCUUGGGUUUCGCUUUUAGAUUUUGGCUAACCUUCCGCACGAGGAUAAAGAUGUGCAAGAUAUGGAAGAUAUAAGGAUUCCUAGUGCUAUCAGUCAUGGUAGCAGGCGGGAUUCUAGUCCUACUGUCUCUAGAGUGAUGGACUCUCAAUUGUCUCUGGAUUAGACCAAUCGUGUAAGGGCCAAGCCCAUCAAGGUACCCCGACUAGACAUAAAUAAGAGAAAGGAGAAAGAACAUGGGGGGAUAGCCUAAUGGUUUGAUGUGCAAGCCACUAUAGUCCUGAAGCCUACAUUUGACAAUGAUCCCAUUUAGAAUUCUAAUUGGAUUAAUGUUCCUAUUUCUUUAAAUGAGAAUCAUACUGCUAUAGCCAUCAAGGAUUCCUUGGCCUAUAGUUUACCAGCUAUGGCUAAGGGGAAUAGUCAAGAGCUCUCUUUAGAUCUCCCACUUCGGUCUGAACUUUUUAAUUUUAACAAACGAUCUCCAGAUCCUAGGAAGGGCACAUGAAUGAAGAGCAAAAGGCCUACUUUCAAACGUAAACCUCCCCUUCCUACCCUAGCGGAUUUUGUUCCCUUAGGAGAUGCUAUGAAGAAGAUCUCAGAGAAUUUGCAUAUUGCAGGUCAAGAGGGAGCAGCAUCCAUUGAUGAUACCAUAGAAGAGUUUGAUAAGGAAGCCGAGGAUCAAAGGGUCCCUAAUUCUCAAUAAUUGGUUUUUAUGGAGUUCGAAUUCCUUGUGUGGAAUUGCCAGGGGGUAUCCAGUAAAAGGUUUAGUCGGGUUGUUAAAGAGUUAUUGCCAUGCACAACAUCUCUUUGUUAGUAGUCGUGGAAACCAGGAUUAGUGGUGUUACAGCAGAUAAAGUUAUCUCGAAUUUAGGGUUCCCUUUCUCUCAUAGGGAUAAAGCGUGAGGUUUAUCGAGUGGCAUUUGGGUUUGUGGAAGUCAAGUUUCUGUUCUAUUUAACCAUAAGCAGUUUAUCCAUUUGGAGCUUCAGGUGUUGGGGUAUCUUACUUUCUGGUUCACCCUUAUAUAUGGUAGUCCCAACCUUAUCGUUAAACGGGAGCUCUGACAGCAUUUAUUAAAUAUUCAUUCUCGUUGUUCUUGUCCGUGGGCGAUUGCUGGUGAUUUUAACAUUGUCCUUCGACUCAAUGAGAAAUAAGGUACAACUAACGAUACUGCUUUUUGUACUCAUUUCAGAGAUUUAUUUGACAUAACAUGGUUGCAAGAUAUGGAGUACCAUGGCUCGAAGUUCACCUGGAAAAGGGGCUUGGUCUAUGAGCGGCUUGACAUAAUGAUUUGUAACAACUCUUGACUUUCUUCUUUUUCGGGGACUAGUGUUACUCAUCUUCCUAGGGUUAAGUCGGAUCACUCGCCUAUUCUUAUUGGCCUUGGUCGAGAUAUUGGGACAUUCUAUCAUUCUAAGAGUUUUAAGUUUCUUAAUUUAUUGCAAAAUAAGGAGGAUUUUGCUGAUGUGGUACUCAUAACUGGCGAAUAAGGGGAGAUAUUGUGCGGAAUCUUAGUGAUCUUGUGAUGUCUUUGGGCCAGUGGCAUAAAACUUAUGUUGGAAGUAUCCGUAAUAGGAAGAGAUCAUUGUUGGCUCCUAUUGAUGGUAUCCAGCAUGCUUUAGAGAGAAGGCAUAGAGAGAAUUUGGGCGAUCUUGAAUCAUUUAAGGGAGGACCUUGAGCAGCUUUUGACGGAGGAAGAAUUAUAUUAGUGUAAAAAAUCUAGAAGCAAAUGGCUUUCUUAUGGGGAUAGGAAUACAAAGUAUUUUCACGCUAUCACCAUGAAAAGGCGUCGAAGCAAUAGAGUGUUACAUUACAAGGUCCUGAUGGUUUAUGGGUUUUAUGAUCAAAGUGUAAUCUGGGCUUAGGCUUUAGAGCAUUUCGCUAACUUGUAUACAGAGGAUCGAGACUUUUGUUAUCUUGUGAGUUUCUCGAAUUGGUUUUCCCCACUCUCUGUGGAGGACCGAGAGAAUUUGGCCAGUAAUGUCACCAUGGAGGAAGUGCGGCUUGCACGGUUUCAAAUGGACCCUUCUAAAGUUCCGGGUUUUGAUGGCUUCAAUGAUUUCUUUUUCCAAAAAAACUAGACUAUUGUGGGUCACGAUAUCUUCAAAGUUAUGAAUGCAGUCUUUUUUGGGGAGUUUGACUUGGCAGAAUUGAAUAAGACGUUAAUUAUUUUGAUUCCUAAAAUCCAGCAGCCGACUAAUAUUUCUCAAUUCCGUCCCAUUAGUUGGUGCAACACUGCAUUUAAAGUGGUCACCAAAGUUGUUGCUAAUCGCCUUAAACCUCUUAAGACUAAGCUGGUGGGGUCGGAGCAGGUCAGUUUUGUCGCUGGGAGGCACAUAACUGAUAACAUUGUUAUAGCACAAGAAAUUAUUCACUCUAUGAAAGCUAAAAGUUCGGGUAAAAGGUGGAUGGCUAUAGAAGUAGACUUGGAGAAGGCGUAUGACAGGUUGGGAUGGAAGUUCAUUGAGUAUACCCUAUUUGAUAUUGGCUUUCCCAGCGUUAUCAUUCACGUUAUUAUGUAGUGUAUUUCAUCUUCAACCUUAAGCAUUGCUUAGAAUGGAUCGCAGUCUGAGUACUUUAAACUUCUCGUGGUGUGUGACUAGGGGAUCCCCUUUCACCUUAUAUUUUUGUUCUCUGUAUGGAAAGGUUAUCUCAUGAUAUUUAGUCUGCUGCUUUGGAUUGUCAAUGGAAGCCUAUUCGGAUUAGUCGGCAGGGGUCAUCUCUCACUCUUUUUUUUUUUUUUUUGCCGACGACCUUUUCUUAUUUAUUGAAGCCUCAACCACUCAAAUGGAUAUUAUUUUGAAAGUUUGUUCAGAAUUUGCUAUGUCGUCGGGUCAGAAAAUUAAUAUGGAAAAAAAUUUAUUAUAUUUUUCCAAGAAUACUUCUGCUCAGCAUGUUAGGAUAUUAGCUGUCGGUGUAACUUCAAAGUGACAGAUGAUUUAGGGAAGUAUUUAGGAAUUCCAAUUACUUGUGGAAGAUCCAAAGUUACUGCUUUUUCUUUCUUGGUGGAAAAAGUUCAUGCUAAGCUCUCUAGCCGGAAUGCGAGUCAUCUGUCGCUCGCAGGUAGAAUCACUCUUGUGAAAGCGAUUUUUUUAGCUAUCCCUACUCAUGUGAUUCAAACGGUUUCUAUGCCUAUCUCUAUAUGCCGUGAGAUAGAUACAAAUCGUCACUGUCCUUCGUAGGUCAGAAAUUUCAUUAAAAUUUAUUAAAACUUAAAUCAAAUUAUAUCUACAAUGAACAUGAUCAAUUUAAUUAGUCAAUUUGAAGUGAACUCUAGGCAUCUUACAUAGGUAUUUGAUUUUUGAUUGAUUCGAUUUCAAUUUUUACACAAAAUUCAAUUGAAAACAAAGUUAUUAAACAUCAAAAGUAAACUGUGAUGAAAUAAUAAUUAAAAAAUAAUUAUUAAAAUAUAUACAUUCAUGGUGAGGGAGGGUUAAAAUUCAAUUAUGUACACCCAAUUUGCAUUAGAAUUUUUUACCAUUUAAUAUAUAUAUAUUUAUUAUUAAUUAAUGUAAAUUUUAUUUACCAACGCGUUAAAUUUAAGCUAUUUGGAAGGCAUUGGUUUUUUUUUUUUUCUGGCCUCCACUUUCGGUCGACUGUCCCCUUUAUUUUAUUAAGAAUUUUGCUGUGCAUACAAGAUUUUCAAACGCAGAUAACUAAAACAAUAUAGGUCUGAUUUGGACAGCAAUUUGAAUCCAUUGUUUGGUAUUUGAGCUCUCAAAUCUCAAUCAUUAGUUUAAGACAUUUUUAUUAAACUUAAUAUUUAAAGCAUUAUUUAAAACUUAAAAAUUAUUUAAAGAUUAAAAUUUCAAUAUUAAAUUCUUAAUUUUAACUCAAUAAUUACGUUACUUUUUUUGAGAAAAUUAAUUUUUCUUUAUUAAUGCUUUACUGGCUCUAUUUAACAUCUAAAAUUAGUACUUAUUUGGUACUACUCAAUUCUUAAAAAAAAAAAAAAAAAAAAAAAAAAAAGUGGAAAUACUUACAUACAUCAAACGUACCUACCAAAUAAAUAUAAUAAAGGAAUUUUUUUUGUAGAAAUAGAUAUACACAGCGAGAUAUUUGGUUGUAGAAAUUCAAUUUUCUAUAUAAAAUCACUUUCCUAAUAAGUAAAUUUCCAGAAAAGAAAUUUCAGGAAUAUAGAAUCUAUAUUCAUGUUUAGGUGGGAAUAAAAUUCGUUUUAGGAAAAUAAGGUAAUUAAAAGCAUUAAUGUGAUUUCGUUUUUAUUGAAAUUCAGCAUUGAAACCACAAAUAUGACAAGUAUUUUAGAAAAAAUUAUUUUCUCAAAUGUGAUAACCAUUAUGGAGAGGAGGUUGUAGGUGGAAAAUUAGAAAUAGAGGCUAUUUAUUCAAGAUUUGAAUUUCUUUGAAAAUGCAACAUUUCUAUGUACUAAUUAAAUAUUAUUCCUUUUAUACUAAAAUAUAAAUCAUUUAGUCCCUUUGUUCCAAAAAAUAAGUCGCUUUUGGGUGAUUAUUUUCUCCAAAAAUAUAAGUCGCUUUAAAUAUUUUAAGGAAUAAUAAAUGAUGUUUUUUCCAAUGAUACCUUUAUUUACAUUAGAUAUAAUAAAUACUUUCACAAAUAACUAUUGGUCUUGAUAUAACGGUUAAUUUAAUCAAAUUACCCUUAGUUUUGUUAUAAUAUAAGUGAAUUAAUUGAUUCCUUAAUUCUUCUGCAAAAACCUUAAACGGCUUAUAUUUUGUGAUAGAGAGAGUAAGAUUUUUUACACAAAUAAUUAAUUCUCCUAAAUUAUAACAAAACUGAUAGUGUGAUCAAAUUACCCUUCACCUCAAUGUCAAAAGUAAUUUUAUCUAAUAUAAAUAAGGAUAACAUCAGAAAAAACACGAUUCAUUACUCUUUAAAAUACUCAAAAAAAGACUUAUAAUUUAUGAUAAAAUAAUCACACAAAAACAAUUUAUAUUUUGAGAUAUAGGAAAUAUAAUUUUAUUUUCUUAUAUAAAAUUUGGAUAACAUUUCUUAGCAAUCAAAUGCUCUGGAGAGUAAGUAAAAUUUUUUCAAUGUGGAAUAUUAUCCAAGAUCCAAAACAAAUAAUGAUUUUCAAUAAAUCUAGGAUGGAGAAUUGAAAAGCAUUUACUUAUAUAAUGAAAAAGUUAUUGAAAUAUUAAAGAAAAAAAUAUAUAUAUUUGACUCAAAUGUUAUGAAAAUUCACAACUAGCACUUCACCGAUAUCCUUACGAAGAAAUAUAAAAUACAAAAUAAAAUAAAAAAUAAAAAUAGUGGGGGGUCCAUUAAAUUCCCGCGUCAGAUAAGAGUAUAUGCCCAAUAUGAUUCGUCGUGUGAGCAACGAAAUAUGCGCCAAAAACACCGUUGCGCGUUCCAAGUUCUUUUUAUCCGAAGCUGACACGUAUUUUAUUUUUUUAUGAUUAUUUUUCUGAACGCCGUUUUAAAUAUAUAACCGUCUGAUAUGAUUCCUGCCCCACUUCCUUAACAUCCAAUGCCACCAUUUUCUUGAUGGGCAUCAUUGUCUUUUGACGAUGUAUAAUUUAUAAUAAUUGAAAAAACAAUCUAAAUGUGAAAUUAUUCUUACAUUUUCUCCAAAAAAUUAAUUUGCAUAUUCUUUCCCGAAAUAGACCCAUUUUGAAUUUAUAAACAUAAUUAAUAUUAUUAAAUUAUAAUUUUUACUUAAUUUUUUAAUAUCUCUUACAAUUUUUUCCUAAAAUAAUGUAUUUUAAUCAGUUUCUUAUUUUAAGUUUUAAUUAAUUUUAUUUCAAGAUUGAAUAAAUUCACUUAUAAUCUUUUAUGUUAUAAUUAAAAUUAUUCAGAUCUUAAAUAUUUAUCAUAAUUAAUUGCCAACCGAACAAUGUUGAAUAUAUUUUUAUAAUUAAGGAAAACCAAAUAAAUCACCAACAAAUAAAUUAAUAACCAAAAUAUAAAACCUCUUAACCUUUUAUUUUGCACUGGACCAAAAUGCCAUUAGUUACCAAUUUAAUUAAAAUAAUUUUUUGAGGAAAAAUUUAAUUAAAAUAUUAAUUCACAUAAUAAUGCUUUAUUUAAUUAAUCAAACUCGGAUUAAUAUUUAAAUUUCACAAACUCAAACUUACGCAACAAUCUUAUAUAAUUUAUAAUAUUACUGUGGUAAUAUAGGUUUUGUAUAUAUAUAAAAAAUAAUCAUCUAUAUAACUAUUGCCUCCUAAGUUUUUUUUUUUUUUUUUUUUUUUUUUUUUGUUCUCGAGUUGAAUUUUUUUUUCUUCUCUUACUUAUAGUUAAAUACAAGACUAUGAGUUAACCAUGUGUGACGUUAUUGAUCUUCUUGCUAACGUGAGGAGUGAAAGAUAUCAAGUUCAAAUUCUUUCAACUAUAAAAAUUUUUACUAAUUUGAUGAAUAAAUAUUAAUUUAUUUUAGUAAAGAAUUAAAUAUUUAAUUAAUAAUUAAAUAAGAUUGAAAUAUUUAUUUUUAGUACAUUUUAUCAGAAGUAACUAUAAUUUCAAUUUUUUAUUCCACUUUAUUUAUUACUCUAGAGAAUUAAGAAAAUAUUAAUUAUUUUUUUCAAAUUUAUUUUUAUCUCUCUGAGUAUUAAUUAUUUAGAGAACUGAAAAGAGGUAAUAUAGUCGAUUAAAACCUUUUUCAUUUUUUACAAAAUUGAGAUAGUUUAUUUAUUGAUUAAUCUUUUUAUGCAAUCUAAUUAUUUCAUUUUCCCUAUUAAAAAAAAUAUGUAUGUUUUAAUGAAAUGGAAUGAGUUAAUUUCUAUUCUUAACAGUUUAUAACUAAUAAUAAUUUUUUUUUCCUCCUCUCUUAUUUCAAACUAGCAGUAUAGUUAUGGUACACACAUUUAAUAAAAAUAUAUAUAUUUAUAUGACUUUAUGUUAAUAAAAUAUGCGGAAAAAAAGGAAUGAAUAGCAAAUAAUGAAACCAUAGAUUUUAAUGUGAGAGUGUGAAUUAAUAAAUAAGUGCUGUGAAAUAUAAAUUAAACUCAUUAUUACAUAUUAAAAUAUAGCCUGAUGAUAAAUACAUAUAUGACUGUGACUUAUUCUUAUAAUUUAUAGAUUGUGGAUAGAACUAUCAAAAUCGUAAAUUUCACUCACCGCGUUGGCAGCUGUUGCUACUAAAUCAAAACUCAUAUUUUAUUUAAUAAAGGAAUUUAAAUUUGUUGUCCUAAAACAUCGUUUUCUUUCUUUUUUUCAAUUUUUAUACAAUAGAAUUUUUUUUGGCCAAAACUUAGUUUUAAAAUGACAAAGUAACCCCUUCUUAUUGCCAUGGAUCCAGCAAGCAAUCCGUGAUUCGUGUUAUUGAAUUAAGUGGCGCGUGCACUCUACUCCAUCCUUUUUUUUUUUCAAUUUCCGAAUUUAACCCUUUCCCUUCUCUACCCCACUCUCUCAGUUCUUACCAGUCAGUCACCACCACCACUUUCCCUACCACUUCAUCUCCUUUCCGCUGCUAAAAGGCCCUUCUCUGCUCUCUCUUUCUCUAUGGCAACCAUGGUAAGACCGCCGUCAUUAUUCCUCAUUCUCAUUUCCCUCUCAUCCCUCUCUUUCCUCUGCGAAUCAAGACUCUCUUACACCUAUUACGACAAAUCUUGCCCAAAAUUUUCUCAAAUCAUUCAAGAUACCAUAACCAACAAGCAAAUCACCAGUCCUACAACCGCCGCCGGAACUCUCCGUCUCUUCUUUCAUGACUGCCUCCUCAAUGGCUGCGACGGUUCCGUUCUCAUCUCCUCUACUCCUUUCAACUCUGCCGAACGUGACGCCGACAUUAACCUCUCCCUUCCCGGUGAUGCCUUUGAUCUAGUCACUCGUGCCAAAACUGCCCUUGAGCUUUCUUGCCCUAAUACUGUUUCUUGCGCCGAUAUUCUAGCCGUAGCAACCCGUGAUCUAGUCACAAUGGUUGGUGGUCCUUACUAUAGUGUUCUGUUAGGGAGAAAAGAUUAUCGCAUCUCUAAAUCUGCUUAUGUAGAAGGCAAUCUGCCAAAACCCACAAUGCCGAUGUCAAAAAUUAUCGAUAUUUUUGGUUCUAAAGGUUUUAGUGUUCAAGAAAUGGUGGCGUUGAGUGGUGCACAUACUAUAGGUUUUUCUCAUUGUAAGGAGUUCAGGAGUUUUGUGUAUAAUGACACAGAUUACAAUCCAAGAUUUGCUCAGGGUCUUCAACAGGCUUGUGCAGAUUCUUACAAGAAUCCAACUUUAUCAGUUUUUAAUGAUAUAAUGACACCAAACAAGUUUGAUAAUGUGUAUUUUCAAAAUUUGCCUAAAGGGUUAGGCCUAUUAGAAUCAGAUCAUGGAUUGUAUAAUGAUCCAAGAACCAAGCCUUUUGUGGAGCUUUAUGCUAAAGAUCAGAACAAGUUUUUCCAAGAUUUUGGGAAAGCAAUGGAGAAGCUCAGUGUUUAUGGCAUCAAGACUGGAAGGAGAGGUGAGAUUAGGCACAGGUGUGAUGCUAUCAACUGAAAAUUUUAUGGGUUCGUUUUAUUUUUAUAAUUUUUUUUUUUGUUGUUGUGAUUUAGUUGAGAAAUUAAAGGGAUAAUGGGUGAUCGUGAAUGAAGAUUUUGGGUUUUAUUUAUGUAUUAAUUCUUUUGGUUAAUUGUGAGGAUCUGAAGUUGAUAUGUAUACAAUAUUUGUCUGCACUGAUCAUGAUAUCAAACUUAAAUUAUACAUGUUUUCUUUACUUUUUCUUCUUGGUUUCAAUCUGUUUGUAUUUUCCCAAUGGGCUUCUGCUUGUUUUGAUGGUUUUAUUUAAUUUAAUUUGCUCAUUGCUCAAUUUUGAAUGUUAAGUAAUUGCCAGUUUUAAUGCUUACAGUUGCAUUUAGUAUUUACAGGACCAACAAUUGAUUGUUGGUCUGCUUGAGACCUGGUGCAAAACCAGCAAGGGAUUGCAUUUACCUCCAUUGCUGUUCUUUACUUCAAUUACAUAUUUUUUAUGAACAGGUUUUAAUUUAAUGGUAUUAUAGUAAUUUCAUUACCUAAAAAAUGUAGAAAUGAAGAAAUUAUGGUGAUGGAUUUAAGAAUAUAGUAAUGAGGAAAGUGAAGGGGAAAUAUGCUUUAGAGUUUGACAUUGGUGGUGUAUUUUUCGAAGUCUUUGAGUUGAAUUCUGUCUGUUCUUGUUUUAUUUACUUUAAUGGUGUCUCUUAUUAUUGCUUUACCACCAAUUCUUUACUGUCAAAAAACCAGAAUUGUGGUUUGAGAUGGAGAUCUGAAAUUUGAGCAGAGAAAUUUUGCACUGGAAUUGCAGACAUUACCAAACUACCGUCCACAUCUACUUGGAACUCAGCCACGCAUGUUCUAGUGCAGUAAAAUUCUUAAUGAAAUUGACGUUUAGCGAUGAUUGGCAUUGAGAUGAAAUUACUUUUUAAAAACUAAUCAUAUUGAUUAUUUUGAACUAUAUUUCUAUUCUUCCAAGAUUAAAGCGCACUAGACUCUAUUUUGGUGAUCCAAAAUUAGAUAAUCGAGAUAGUAUAACCGCUGUCCGGCUAAAAAAAAUUACUCUCUCACUUAAGUGUUAAAUGGGAAGAGGAUGACAACUUUGGUAAUAUCAAAAAAUUAUGUGUCGGUUCCGACCAAUUCAGGCCAAGACAAUUGACAUUCAAAUAAGGCAGCUGAGAGUACUGGAGCCCAAGUGUUACUCCGGCAGCAUGCAUCCAAAUCGAAGCCACUGUAGAAAUCAGAAUAGCUUUCAAAUGAUGACCCCAUAAAUGUAAUAAUCUCACUAUCUCAUUAUUAACAUAUGCCCAUAUCGGUCAAAAGUAAAACCACUUGAUGCAAUUGUAGCCAACAGCUCAGCUUGCUAAACAGACCUACCAUCCUUACAUUUCUUGAAUGAUUUUAAUAGUUUUGGAGCAAGCAGAAGAAACAUCAUCAUUGUGUUCUUCUGUUCUGAGGAAUUUUCUGAAUGUUAAUUUACUUCUUUAUAAAAAAAAACUUUAUUUUUGUUUUUGCCCAAAUUUAAAAUGUUGCCAAAGAAACUAUACAAUUAUAGCAAAUUUUAAUGUUGAUUGUAACAAGAGUUUUCAAAUUGGAGAGCUAAAACAGUAACUCUACAGUUCAAAUCUACGAUCAUCAGGGUGAAAUUUAGUGGCCUCAACCACUGAAUCAAGUUAUCUCUAAUAAAUUAUUUCUAAUUAUAAAAUUCUACAUAGAGAGGACAAUAAUGAUUUAGGCAGAUAAGCAAAUAAAUUAUUAAUUUUUUUGAGCUCAUAAACUAUGAGCAUGGUGACACUUAGACAAAUAUAUAGAUGUUUGUUAAAAAACAAAUUAGUUGAAUUUACUCCCUUUACCAUGAUCCAUUUGAAACAUUACUCAUGUGUUUGGAAAAUUUUAAUUUUUCAUGUAACAACCAUGCAAGUGUUCUUUAGGCUUGAAAUUAGUAUCAUGCUAUCUUGUGUGAGAGUAAAAUAUAUUUUAAACUUUACAUUUUCAUUUAUUUUUUAACCAUAAAAAUAUCCACAUUACACGAACUUUUCAUGGGCAAUUAAAAGUUUCGCCUGUAUUACGUCGCCCUGCAGGAAAUUAGAGUCAGAAUGGAAUUAUCUUAUUAGAGAUGGAGCUAAUAAAAUUUUUUCGAUUUAUUUUUCAUUUUAAUAUAUUAUUAUAAAGUAUAAAUUUCUUUAUUAACACAAUAAAUUAUAAAUUUUAAACAUAAUUUAGUAGUAUUUUUAUAUUGUUAGCUAAAAUCAUAACAUUUAAAUGCUUAAAUAUGUAAAAGUCCUAUUUUUUUAAUAAAAAUAAUAUAUUAUUGACGGUAGCGCGUUACAAAAAUGCAAAUAUCUACUGUCCGCGCCCCGAACAAUAUCGGGGUCGGAGCAAGUCAAAUCUGUUUCGGGUCAAAUUGUCAUUCAUAUUUUUCCGAUUUCUACUUCAGUAGUAGCGGGCUAACCCAACUUUUUGAACAUAGACGGCCCGAUGUAAACAAAAGCUAUCCGACCUGAACUUAUGGGCCCGUGAUUAAGAAGAUGGAUGAAAAUGAAAUGGAAUGGCUAAAACCCUAGAAGGGGAAUUAGGGUUUUUGCCAUUCUGGCUUGUAAGUAGCAAAGUGAAGUAAGUGAUACUCUUUCCCUUUCGCUAAAAAUUCGACUUUCUGGAACAGUUUUCUUUCCUUCUAAAGUUUAAUUCGAAGAAGGACCGCAGUUCUCCACCUAUUUUCACCAUGGACGUGGAAUACCCAGGUUUUGCUUAAUCAGUUACAGGUUUAUGGUUUUUUUUGUUUUUUUUUCUUUGGGUGUUUUCGCGUAGUGUAUUGAUUUUUUUUUUUUUUUUUUUUUUUUACAUCUCCUUUUGUUGUUAACGUCAGUUAAAGAUUUAGACAAUGACACAAGCGAAGAAGAGGAGGAGGAGGAAGAAGAAGAAGAAGAAGUACAAGGAAGCGAAAACAUCUCGAAAUCUCGGAAAAAAUUAGCUAGGGAGCAUAAAGAUCAGUUGCAGAAACUUAAAAAAAAGGUUUUUUUUUUUUUUUUUUUUUUUUUUUAAUCUUUUGGUUUUUUUGUUUCAAAACUUUAUUUUGUUUUGUUAGAAGGGAUUGGGACAUUUGAAUGCUUAUUCUCAUUUUUGAGCUUAUGAAUAGCCAUUUUAAAGUUUUUCUUGUGGUCUGUAACUUUGCAUUUCCGUUUUGGUCCUUAUGUUGCCAUGAAUAAUCAGGAAAUGUACUGAACUUAAAAGACCUUAGCUUGUCAGGUGCAAGUAUUUAUAGACUAUAGAUGGUUGAAUUCUAAGAUUUGGUGGUAGAACAGUCACUUGGAUAAUUUUUAGGUUUCAUUUGGAUAGGGAAUUGAGAGGGAUGGAUUUGGAUUGUUUUUCUCUUUUUAGGUUUAAAAUUUUCUCCUUUGAGGCAUAUUUAACAUCCAUGCAGUUGUUUGAUAUGUAACUUCAAAACUGGGAUUCUUUGCUUUGGAUCCCUAAUUCGGGAGUUAUAAGGGAAUUGCAGUUAAUAGGCUGGUGUAGUGCAAACUAUCAUGGUUGAGUUGCUUUUUUAUGUUGGAGGUUGGGUUUUGUCCAUAUUGAUCACGAGGAUAUAAAGAUUUUUAUAUUUACAACAACAAUAACAACAACUAAGUUGUAAUACCAAACUAGUUGGGUUGGCUAUAUGAAUCUUCUGUUUUCACUUUACUCUGUUCAUAACUAAGAGAAAUUUAGAUGAGAAAAAUUUUUAAUUUUAGAUGAUAAAAAUUUUAAAGCAUUAAUAAUAAACACAUUUAAAUAUCAACUAUCAAGAGGUUCUUAAUGGUUAUGAUAAUCAAUGCGAAGUCACUUUAUAACUGAUCAAUGUUUACAUUCCUUGCUACUGUUCUGAUUGUUAUUAAUGUUAUUUUUUCUGAAAAUUUUUUAUACAGGACCCUGAAUUCUAUCAAUAUUUGCAAGAGCAUGAUGAGGAGGUUUUACAAUUUGAUGAUGAGGAGAUUGAGGUGAGCUCGGAAUAGGUUCAUAGCAGUGACAGAUCCAGGAAUUAAAGUUAGGGGGGCUAAUAAAAAUUUCAAGAGUUAAAGGGGAGCGAAAUUGAAAAUACUUACUAUUUUAGUAGGUAAAUUUAAAAAAUUUUAAUUUUUUAUGGGUGAUUUUUUUUAAAAAAAAUUUGCUAGGGGGGGCCGGGGGGCCACCCCUAGACCCCCUAGCUCCGUCAAUGGGUUCAGGUGUCAGAAUCUUCCAGAUCAGUGAACUAAAUUAUAUUGCCAAGUUCAUACUUUUUGCAAUUUCUGCAGGAAGAUGCUGAUACUGAACUGGAGGCUGCAGAUAUGCAAGUGGAUGAAGAAACAAGCGAUCAUGAUAUUACAGAAAAGGAAGAUAAACCUUCUAAAAGUGCUAUUACCACUGCUAUGGUUGACUCUUGGUGUCAAUCAGUUCGAGAAAAUGGAAAAGUAGGUGCUGUCCGUUCUCUUAUGAAAGCUUUCAGAAUUGCAUGCCACUAUGGUGAUGAUGGUGGGGAUGACUCUUCAAUCAAGUUCACUGUCAUGUCCAGCAGUGUCUUUAAUAAGAUAAUGUCGUUUGUACUCGGUGAAAUGGAUGGAAUUCUUCGUAAAUUGUUGGGCCUACCUGCUUCUGGUGGUAAGAAAGAAACUAUAAAUAAUUUGAUGAGUACAAGAAAAUGGAAGAACUACAGCCACCUGGUGAAGUCGUAUCUUGGAAAUGCCCUACAUGUUCUGAACCAAAUGACUGACACAGAUAUGAUAUCUUUUACAUUAAGACGUCUCAAAUAUUCUGCUGUACUUUUGGGUGCUUUUCCAAAUCUAUUACGGAAGUACAUGAAGGUACACAAUCUGGAUGUCAUUUUCUUGGAGCUUAGAGUUUUUUAUAGUUUUUUUCCAUCGCAUAUGACUUCAACUUGUGAAUAUGAUGCCAUUUUGUUGGAGCUCCUGUCCUUAGUUGUUAUAGUGGUGAACACGAAGGAGGCCGGAGACUGUUCAUUCUCCGAAUACUGGAAAAGUUUAUACAUGUAUUUAAUUUGUUGGAACUGAAAUACCACUUCCUCCCUGCCAAACUUGAUGCAUGUAUCCUUAAAGUAUGUCCAUCCUACAAAACUGGAGUAGUGCAGUUAGGAUUUUGUUUGGAGCUUGUUGGUUAAUAAGGUUUCAUAGUUAGAUGCUUUAAAUUACUUCUUAAAAAUGAAUAAUUUCAAAAAGUUUCUUUAGUGAUUGGUUUUCUCAAGUUGCUAAGAUGUCUUGUAUGCUAUUUACAAAAUUGGGAGAGAAAUGUAUUAUAAAGGUUUAAGUGAUAGCAAAGUUAGUCACUAACAAUCUAUAAGCAUGAAUCAGAAUUUGGCUUUAUUCCUAUAGGUGUAUCAUGUCAUGCCUACUAUUGCUUUGUCCUGCAUUUAAGGUGCAAAACCCAAUGUUUGAAAUUAGAUUUGGUUUUGACUAUCUAGUCUCUAUGUUAUAAAACCAUUUUAUCAUAUAUGUAGGUGUCCUUAUGCGCUUACAAGAUUAUGGGUUUACUGACUCACGGUUUAAAGUGAACAUGCCCUGUGCUUUUUGAGUUUCGAUAUUUAAGGGACAGGACUCCUGUUCAUUUAUAAUUUGCUUUCACUGUCUUAUUUCAGGUUGUCCUUCACUUUUGGGGUACAGGAGGAGGAGCCCUCCCUGUUGUAUGUUUCCUUUUUCUGAGAGAUUUAUGCAUUCGACUUGGAUCUGACUGUUUAGAUGAAUGCUUCAAAGGGAUAUACAAAGCCUAUGUUUUGAACUGUCAGUUUAUAAAUGCCUCAAAGUUGCAGCACAUCCAUUUUCUCGGGAAUUGUGUCAUAGAACUUCUUGGUGUAGAUCUUCCAACUGCAUAUCAACAUGCCUUUGUUUUCAUCAGGCAACAGGCUAUGAUUUUGCGCGAUGCAAUUACUAUGAAAACUAAGGUAGUAUUUUUUUUAAUGAAAGAAUUGUAUGCUUCUCGCUAAUUAUGCUAUUUGUAUAUAGAUUUGAAUUAAAAACAUCUGAUUGAUGUGACACUGCAGUAGGCCAGGUGUAUCUCAUUUUCUCUUCUAAUUAAAUAUUUUUUAUGGGAGAGCAUGCUUGAAUUGUUGCUUUAUUUUUGCUGUUGCUGCCUUAUGUUUUAGUUCUGGGCAAUUGUACUAUUUAUCACUUUUUGUGCAGUUUCUCACCUUAGACGCACAAUACCUCUCACUGUUCUGUAGGAAUCAUUUCGCAAAGUUUAUGAAUGGAAGUUCAUAAAUUGCCUUGAACUUUGGACUGGUGCUAUCUGUGCUUACAGUUCAGAAGCUGAUCUUAGGCCUCUUGCUUAUCCAUUGUCCCAAAUAAUUUCUGGAGUUGCCCGCCUAGUUCCAACUGCUCGUUAUUUCCCCCUCAGAUUGAGGUGUAUUAGAAUGCUGAACCGGAUUGCUGCUUCUACUGGUACCUUUAUACCUGUUUCUAUACUUCUUUUGGAUAUGCUGGAGAUGAAAGAGUUAAAUAGGCGCCCUACUGGUGGUGUUGGGAAAGCUGUUGAUUUACGUACCAUAUUAAAGGUAUUUUAUGCUCUUUAUUAUUUUCUUUAGGUUUAGGUCAAGUGGCUCGGAAAGGUCAAAUUUCAGCGCUUCUGUCAAUAUUGGCCCCAUUUAUCAAUUUUUUAAAUUAUCAUAUAACAUUUUACUUUCAUGUUAUUGAUAGAAAUAAGGAGGAUUUCCUUUGCUUCUUUACGUUCUAGCCAAAAACAAAUCUUCCUUUGGAUUGUUUUCUUCAGUUUACUGUUUCGCUUUAUUGCUUAUAUAAAUUUGGAGAAAUGUUAAUCCAGGUGAGCAAGCCUACCUUGAAGACGAGAGCAUUUCAGGAGGCAUGCGUAUUUUCUGUGGUUGAAGAGCUUGCUGAACAUUUAGCUCAAUGGAGCUGUUCUGUUGCUUUCUUUGAACUGUCUUUUGUUCCAGUUGUGCGGUUGCGUAAUUUUUGCAAAACUACUAAAAUUGAAAGGUUCAGAAAAGAAAUACGUCAGCUUAUUUAUCAGGUAAGUCCCUUUAAAUAGUGAUUAGUUGUAGUCUACUGGAGUGAGAAUUUUCUCAGAAGUGUAUCAGAGGAGAGUGAUAUUUCUUUUAGUCGACUUCUAUAAAUAUUUGCACGGCGUACUAAUGCUUUUCCUCUUGCCCAAGGUUGAGGCUAAUUCUAAGUUCACGAAUGAAAAGCGCAUGUCCAUAAGUUUUCUACCAAGUGAUCCAGCAGCUACAUCUUUUCUUGAGGUCUGAGAAUCCAUUCUUCCUUCCUUUUUUUGUGCUAAAAUUUUCAUCUACAUAUUUAGUUUGCUCUUGCGUAGUGGUAGAGUAGAUGUCUUUUUUAACCUUCCAAUCAGUGGCCUCUUAUUUGUGCUCUUGUUUUCUGAACACUUUUAACAUUUGACUGCAUCAAUAAGCCCAAAGCUAGUCUAUUGCAGCUUUAUGAAGUAUGAACAAUAUUGUAGAGAUGAAAUCCUCUUUCAUAGUGCAGAAGAAAUGGAUGGGGGUUGUUAUUGUGGAUUCUUUUAUGUUUUUAUUAUGUGAUUUUCUUACUUUGUUGGUUAACAUCUUACUGAUGUUGGCUGUAAUGUUUCUGGUAAUGAUAAAUGCCAAGUUUACUGCAACACGGGUUCAUUCAUGAUACAGAAUGCAACUGAUAAAGUUUUCUAAGCAGAAAAUGAUCUUUAUAUGUGUUCUUUUUAUGUACCUUUGGCUAAUUCAAUGUGCUGAUAAAUGAGUCCUGUAUUUUGUCACAGGAUGAGAAAAAGUCAGGGGCCAGCCCUCUGUUACAGUAUGUUGAAACUCUACGGAAGAGGGCACAACAGCAAAAAGAUUCAUUGGAGGAAUCCAGGUUUAUUAUCCAUUUAUUUUUUUAAUCAUUUGUUAUAGUAAUCCUUUUCUGCUGUCAGAAGGCCAAUAUGUAAGUCAUAGCUUGUAAUUUUCAGCGUUCUUGUGGGUGAAAAAUCAUCUUUCUUUGCCAAGAAAGUGUCGGAAAUCAAUGAAGAUGAUGAUAGUGAGACUGAGAAAAGUGCUGCCGUCUUUAGUUCCUCCUGGUUACCGGGAGGUGAUUCCAGGUUCAUUUCCUCUCUUUUUCAUCUCCACUUGCAUGCCUAGAUACAUUCAUCAUAAUAUUGGCUCUCUCUUGCUUCCCACCCCACAAGAGUAUAUGCAUCCAGAGUUUAUCUGUGAUGGUUUGUAUUUUCAAUAAGUAGGGUAAUAUGUGCAUGUGAGCCUUAGCAUAUAAUUGCAAGAUUGCUCCUUUUUGAUAGGAAGAUCGUGGUUCUAACUGGGGGAAAUAACCUGUUUGCGAAAAAGCAAGAGAAAUAACGAGUACGAUAAAUUAUCCUUGUACAAUUUAACUUUACUGACUUCAGCUCUUUGGUUUAUAGGACGAAGCCCUCAAAGGAGAAAAAGAAAACAAAGAAGAGAAAGGCAGAGCAGCAAGACGCAGAGGAAGAUGUUGUGGAGGAUCUGAUUCUUAGUUCUGAUGAAGAUGGAUCUGUCAGUGACCCGCUUUCUUCUUCUGACAACGAUGAAGAUGAGAAAUCAUUGCCUCCUAAACUGCAGAGUCAGAAGCAGAAACCUUCUGAGAAAUUAUCGAAGAAGAGAUCUCGGCCAAGGAAAAAGAGGAAGUCUUCUGAUAGUAAAGUUGAUAAAGCAAAAUCUGUGCCUCCUGAACAGCAACACAUGAAGUCGAGACCUUCUGGAAUUUUGUCAAAGAAAAAUGUGCGAUCUCAGAAGAGGAAGAGGAAACAGAACUGAACUGGCUGAUGCAUAAGCAAAAGAAGUUCCAACAGCGAGAAAAGUAAUUGAUGGAAAAUUGUAUUACACUCACAUUUCCAAUAUGAUUUUGUUUGGAAUAUAUAAGAGAAAGAAAAAAGCAUAAAUUAUUUUGUCUACAAAUUUCUGAUGUGCUCAAAGUCAAAGCUCAAUUCUUAGGAAAAGAAGCAUUAUAGUUGAAUUUUGUGUUCAAGUUGCAUUGUGACCAACACUUGAAUGGCCUGAUACAUUCAAGAACUUCUAUUUUUGGAAUUUAUUUUAUUUUAUUUUUGUAUGAUACGAAUCAAAUUCUUUCAAUGAGGAAAAGUCUUCAUCUAAGCUGUAUAAACGGCUCAGCCAAUUUGGUUUGGUUUCGAUUUGGAAAAUAAAUUUGGAUUUAUUCGGUGAUAUAUAUAGAUCAUGGUUCGAUUAAAAAUUGAAGUGAAUUAAAUCAUAAAAUAAAUAUUAUUUGUAGGUGAUUUUCAAUGUAAAUCAGUCAAUUUGAUAAAUUUGCAAUUAAUAUAAAAAUUUAAAUUAAAAAUAAUUGGAUUCAAUUUAAAGUUUCACAGAAAUUGACUGAAUCAACUAAAUCUUUCAUGAUUAUCAAUUUUCAAUUUACAUUAUAAUGUGGUGAAUAAAAUUUUAUUAAUAUUAACAUUUUUUUUUUUUUUUUUGAAAGAGAAGUAGACCAAGAGAUAAUUAGAUCAUUGAAAAUGUACUGUAUUUUUAUAUGUACAAAUCCAAAGAGAGAAAGCCAAAAUCAAAUAAAGCUUUUACUGAACAAAAAUUAAAUAAAAAAUCUUAUUUAACAAUUUUCUAUUAUUUUUUGAAUGCAUCUUAUAAUGCUUCAUUAUUUACACCUUUUUUAUUGCCCCAGAAUUAGGAAUUAGGCAAAUGGAAACAAAAAAAAAAAAAAGAAAAGUAUGAUAAUGCCAAACCAAAAAAAUGCCUCCCACAUUAACAAACCCCGAAAAAGAAGCAUAAACAAAACAAAUAAUCAACCUAUGCUCCACUUAUAACUCGGACGAUUCUAUACUUGACUCGUUUCCGCCACCGAGUUGACUCCGACUUCUUGCUAUUGACCCCGAGUCCAGCAACAAUUCCUCCCAAUCCACCUCUUCCUCCCCCUCUUCCUCCACUUUCCCUUUCAUUUUCUCCAACAUUCGCUUUGCCUUUUCUCUCGUUUGCUCCCUCCCCGACUUCUCCAACUGCAGCAACACCUCCAUUGCCCCGGCGGUCUUAGCCAACCCUUUGAACCUCAAACCACCGUGACUCAGUGCAUACAACACGGACACACAACUCUCUCGAGUUGACUCAGAUUCCAACCCGCUCCCUUUCAACAAACCCACCAAACAAUCCACCCCACCCGAAUCCAACAUAGCGGCUCGCCCGUCUACACACGAUGCCAAAUUACACAGUAUUAGCAAAAUCCGACUCCUCAUAUGACCCGACUUGACCAAACCCAAAAGAAUUGGUACUGCCCCGAGUUUGACUAGCUUACUCCGAUUACUUUGAACGAGUGAAAGAUGAUAUAAAGCUAAAGCCGAGUCAUGCCGAGUCCACUCACUUUCGGAUCGAAGUAAGUGCAAUAGUGGAGGCAAAGCGCCUAAAACACCAAUUGCAGUCUUAUUAUGAUCAUCGAGAGCUAAACUAAAGAUCACACCACAAGCAUGUUCCUGCGCCUCAGGGAAUCCGCCCUUUAAUACAUCAAUCAACAGAGGAACAAUUCCUGACCGUACGAUCUUAACUUUGUUUACUUUCUGUAAAGACAAAUUAACUAAACAUGCAACCGAGUUCACUUGAAUGUUAAUGUACCUUGAAUUGAUUAAAGAUCGGACGGCUGAGAGUAAUCUUGGAGUACACAGCUCGAUUCUAGAAUGUUCGUUUGUUCUGGUAAUCUUUCUCAAUGAAAUUAAUGCUUCUUCAAUCUCAAAUACUUGUGAGCUUUUUAACUUUUUAAAAAUCUCUUCUUCUUCAUGGUUAGGGUUAGGGUUUAAGGCUUCAGUCUCUGAUGAAGAAGAAGCAGAAGAGUAACAACUUGGCCGAGUCGUGAAUUGCAAUGGAGGCGUGGACACCGCGGUUUCCACCGAUUCCUCUGAACUCGACGAGAAAUUCGUUCGCCGACUGUGAGUCAGUUCAGUGACGGCGUGAUUGAAAUUCACUGGAGGAAUCUCUUUAACCCUGCAAAUCAAAUCUUUAUCCUCCAUUUUUGCACGGACAAGCUUCUCUGCAGAGAAGAAAUCAAGGGGUUUUGGUGGGUUUAUUGAGUGGUCAUUACACCAAUUUAGAAUUGCAGAUUUGAGUGCUAAAUUGGGAAUAACAGUAGAAAAAUUAGGUACUGUACCAUCCACUAAAGUAGGAGUAAAAGAAAGAGUAUUACAGGCUUGGACAAAAACACGAUCAAAAGUAUGGCCAGAGGAGACAAUAACAGGGUCAUUCAUCAAAGAACCGGAGAUUGGACAGAGGAACUCUUUCGGCACCGGAACUUCUUGUUUCGGGUGUUGUUUCUUUGAGGAAGAUGAUCUGCGAAAGGAAGCCACUCUCCAUUUCUGCUUCUCUGUUUCUUUCUGUGAGUCAUCAAUGACAAGUCGUUUCUCUACAGGAUGCUUAUGUAUAACUAGUCUCAUAAGUGCUUCUUGAAACUCCAUAGCUUUUGGGUAUUUUCCUUUUUACUCAAUUAUGUUUGUAGAUAGAAACAAAAUAAAAGAGAAGUUGAGAAUCCAUAGCAAGCUUGAAAUAGAAGUUUUUUAGAUUUAAAAGGGAAAAACGGGAAAGAAGCUGAAAUGGUGGCGUUUAGAUGAGUAGUGAAGACUAAGUCAAGAAGGAGAGUAGUUAAGGUUUGGAUGAUGAAACCUGUGGUAGUAUGAGAUAUGAUUCCGUUGCUUUCGGAGGAGAAUAAGACCAAAAGAAGAAGAGGUGCAGACGAGUAGUGCAAUAGUGACAGUGGUGGUGAUGCUUAAGCUCAAGCAAGUGAACCUCAUUUUUUUUUUUUUUUUUUGAUAUUUCUGUAAUCAUUAAUAUAAUUUUUUUUAUGAAAAUUAAUAAUAUUAUUAUAAUUUUUAAUUACGUUACAUUUUAUUACGACUUAUUAAUGUGAAAUUAAAAUUUUUAUUUAAUUAUGUUUUAAUUAUUUAUGUUAAAUUUCCAAAGAUGUACUUGAGGUAUAAUGUAAUCGAAGGACUCAUAUUUUAUAUGAGGGAUGUUAGUCAUUACUUGUGAAGAUAACUGUUUUGGAAAUAAUUAAUAUAUAUUUUAAUUAAUAAAAGUAAGAGUUUUGAAUAAUUAUUUAAAAGAACUACAGUUGGCAUAUAUAUAUAAUUUUCAAAUCAUGUUAAUAAAUUUUAAAAAAGAAAUAAAUGGAAAAGGGUUAUCUUGGAUUAUAAAGCCCAAGGUCCAUCCAAUGGUCCUCUUCGUAAAGUUAAAAAUCGCAGCCUCAUAGCCUCAGAUCUUCGUCAAAUAUUUGUAUUAUGAAUUUAAAUAAUAUAAAAGCAAUAUACAAAAAAUAUUAUAGAUGAAGUAGCAGAGGAUUCCAUACUCUGUCAAUGCAAACAGAAGAUGGUAUGCAUGCAAUUAUUGAUGCUGUUUAAAGUUAAUUGCCAUUAUCAACUUUUAAAUUCCGAUUGCACUUUGCUUCAACUCCUAAAAUUUUAUUCCGUGACUCAACAGAAAUUUUCCGGCAAUUUGAUGACGUGGCAGUUCCUUCACCGUUGAUGUAAUAAAGAGCACCCUGACAAUCCCUCGUGCUACAUUCUUUUUAAUUGCAAAGAAAAUAAAAAAGGUUAAGAAAAAGACAUCUGUCGCUUUCACUUUAUCUCAAAAUAAAGUUGUUUUUUCUUUUUUUUUUUUUUUUUUUAAAUUUAUUUUUUUAAAUAAGCAAAUUGCUCUGACUUUUUUGCAUGUUUAGAACCAAUCACGCUUCACAUAUAACAUCAUUAGCUAGCUAAUGCUAUAUAAUUAUGAAAUAAUUGCAUACUUAAUUGCUAAGCAUUUGCUAAGCUUUUUAUUUUAAUAUUGUGUGUAUUAUAUUAAAUUUAAUUAAAGAUACUAUAUAAAUGAUUUAUCUGAAAUUUGUGUAAUAAUUUGAUUAGCUUUUACAGUUAAUUCACAACAAUUUUCAUUUCUUUGAUAAAAAUUACUAAAAGAAAAUCACCAUUUUGUUUUGUAGUGUAUAAUAUAUAUAUAUAUAUAUAUAUAUAUAUAUAUAUAUAUAUAUUGAUAAAAAUAUCUAAUUUUAAGAUUUAUUUUCUGUUUUAGUAUUGUUGAAAAUUCCUAAAAGGAAAGAAAGCAACAAUAACUAUAAAUUUGUAUUUUUUAUAGUUAGGGAAAGGAGAACUAGUCUUCAACCUGCAACAAAGAGUGGAGGAUUUUUAUUCAAUCGCGUAGUUUGAAAUCUUAAAAUAUGACGUUCCUAGAGUUUUUUAUUUGAAAGAUUGAUUUCUCCGAGUUUGAUUGAUCAGUCAUUCUGAAAUAAAAGGAGCUUAUAAAAUCAAUCUUAUUUUAUCGCUCCAAAUAUGUCAAGAGUUACGUUGGUGGUAUAUAAAUGUAAACCGUUGGUUAAAAAACUUUCAAAGUUCAUACAUUAAGGUUCAAUAGGAGGAAUAUAUAAAUUUCCUCCCGAAUUUAAUAAUUUUAAUCUUAUGGCAUCGUAAACUUUAUAAAUGACAUAUUAUGUAUUUAAAUUUAUAAAUUUGAUAACUUUUUACACGUUUCCACACUAACAACAAUUGUCUUUAACAUUUGGUUUUUAUAUGUAAAAUAUUGAUUUGAUAUGUAGUUAGCAUAACUUUUGAAAUAAUAAUUUAUAUAUUUUUUAACUAUUUAAUGAAUGUUUAGUUAAUCUAAUUUUGCAUGUUGAAGUGUUCAAUAAAAUGAUUUUACAAGUUGAAGUAUUUAAUGGGUGUAAUUUUAUAAGUUGAAGUAUUUGAUGGGUCUAAGUAAAGGUUGAGAGUAUCAUAAAAUUAAAGUAAUAAAUUUGAGAGGUGAAUUUAUGCAUUCAGUCAAAUUCAAUUUAAGGCUUAUGUUCAAACAAGGAAAACAAAAAAUUUCUAAAAGGAAAGGUAGCAGCUAUAAUUUUAAAGGCUAAUUAUUAAAAAAGUUUCAUACUUUGCAGGUAGUUUUAAUUGUAUGCUAAAUUUAACUUUCUUCUCC
rnacentral:lncRNA from 1 species